CCAAGUUAUACGUUGUUCAACAUUCUGCCUCACACAUAUCAAAUUUCAAAACUGAUAAGCAUAAGCAUGGCUCUGCACGGUUUUAUUGGGACUCAAAUAGAACUCAAGUCACCUGCUGAUAAGUUCUACAAAAUCUUCAAGGGCCAAGCCCACCUCAUCCCAAAUGUUUCUUCUGGCCAUAUCAAAGGCGUUCAGGUGCAUGAAGGAGAUUGGGAAACGCACGGCUCUGUUAAGAUCUGGAAUUAUCAUCUAGGUAAUUAAGUAACUAUAUGGUGAACCCACUUAGGACAAGUUUAAUUAUUUUCCGUUUCGCUGUUAACUAUAUCAUAUGGGUAUGAAAAAGACAUCAUUAGAUGAGCUUAUAUAUAUAUUUUUUGUUAUGAAAUAAAUGUGACAGGGGACGAAGUUGGGACUUUCAAGGAAAAGGUCGAGUACGACGACGAGAACAAGGCGGCAACUCUGACUGGAUUGGACGGAGAAAUGUUCAAGUAUUACAAGAGCUUUAAGGGCAUCUAUCAGUUCGCUCAAAAGGGUAAUGUUAGUGUUGCCAACCUGACGAUUCACUAUGAGAAACGGAAUGCUGAUGUUGAAGCUCCAGAUAGAUUUGUUGGUCUCAUGGUUACCCUCGUCAGGGAUCUUGAUGCUCACUUUGCCAAGGCAUAAUCGAAUAUCAAAAGCAUACAUAUGUUAAUGCGUGCUUUUUCUGGUUAAUAUUAUAAGUAAUGCUUUGUUUUAUGUAAGUUUUUCUUUGUGGCAAGUGCAUGAAGGGAUUUCAUAUGUGAUAUAUUGUGAUGUAUUAGCUAUGUGGGUUAUCACAUACAUAAAAUAAAAUGCGUGGUGUGCUAUAUAUAUAUAUCUCCAGUUCUUGCUCAUCAUUCACAUAUCAAGUACAAAAUAGACUUAAAAAUCAACAAUAUCCAACUGGUAUAUGUUGCGCGCUUGGAUUCAAAGUACUUAAAAGAUCAAAAAAUUUGAAGUAUGUUGCGUGCUUGGAUUCGAAUUUUACAUUGAACACUUAGCCUUGUUGAUGAAAAAGAAACAAGCUAAAAGUAGUAAAAACGUAGUAGAAGCAGCUGGAAGCUCUUUCCUUCAUCAUUUGCACUCUCCUUUUCCCUCUUCAUCUCUCUCCUUCUUUAUCUCUCUGCCCUUCUUCCUUGUGAAUUUGCUGGUUUACUUUAAUAUUAACGAAUCUACAUAAAGAAAAGAAGGUGUUGCUGGAUGCGACGAAUGAAGGAUAGAUUCCACAAAAAAAAAAAGUUUUCACGUUCUUCCAUUCCAUAAGCAACACUGAAAAAUGCUCUAAUAAUUUUUGGACGAAACUCUCAUGACAACUUAAUCCAAAGCGUUCUUCCAUUCCAUAAGCAAUACUGAAAAAUGCCCUAAUAAUGUAUGGACGAAACUCUCAUGACAACUUCAUCCAAAGCAAACACAACUCAACCCAGCCGGCAGUGCAAUAAGCACCCAACCCAACCAGUCAAACCCUAAACCAGCACAGCAUCCUUCCCCUCAAAACCCACGACGUAAGUAACGUAAUUAAAUUCAUCUCUGUUGAUUAAUGGGAAGCGUAGGUCUUGCUUGCUGGAGGAUGGGAACAACACACACACACACACCAUUUCUAUAUUUAAUUAAUUUGGUCAUUAUUCAGUUGAAUAGCCCAUUUACAAAUAAUAAUAAUUUGACAGAUAAUGUGAAUUUGGAAACUAAAUUAUUGAUCUUUUAAAUACAUUAAUUUAUUUUUUUAUAUAAAAAAUAAAUAAAGGCAAGUGCAAAAGGUAUCUAUCAUUCUCGAAGUUUUUUACGCCACCUGCCUUAUUAGUGCAAAAGGUAAUUUUAAAAUUUGGAAAUGGGAGUCGGUGUGACUUUUGAAGAAAGAACGAAAACCCAAAGGGGAAAAAGUUAUACAUUAUUAUAUGCGUACCAUAAAUAAUGCAUGUGUGACUGAUCAAUCGAAGAUCUAAAAUGUUUAUUUUAUUAAAGAGUUGUCGAAUUUGACAAGUGUGGAUCAUCCCUGUCUGCCCAUUUGAUAAUUUCUUAUUGCCAAAUAGUUAAUAAGCAUGGGCUGGGAUAGGUCUGCAUAAUUAGAUUUGAUGAGGAUGAAAGCAAUAAUUGAGUUUUCGUUGAUUUUACAUCUCAGAAAGGUUACUCAUCUCUCGUAGUUUUUGCACUUUUAUAAAUGUGAAUCUUAUAAAGUAUUAUAACUCAUAACCAUUUUUCUUUUGUAGGCUUGAAGAUCUGGCAUUGCAUGCAUGAACACAUUUUCCGAUGUGUAUAUGAAUUGAAGAUCUCGCGUUGCAUGCAUGUACACUAACUAUGAAUUGAGAGAGUUUUUCUUCGGACAGUUGUCCAGCAUUCACUUUACCUAAUCAGGGAUUAGUAAAAUCCAAAUGAAAAAGAUGUGAUCAUUGAAAAGGUAAAUAUUUUUUAUUCUAAAAGUUCAAAUGAUUAGUUGAGAUAUAACCAUAUCAAAUACAAUAUUUUUCCCUAAUAGAAGAUUAGGGCUAAUAUUUGUCCUGCACCCGGUGAUGAACCGAAAGUAAUUGCACUUGUUCAUGGAUGUUGACAGCUAGCAAUAACACUCUUCUUACCAAAAAUAUUUAUAAAAAGAAAAAAGGUCUGUUUUUAUAUAAAAUCAACGACGGUUUUUACAAAAAAAAUCGUCAUCUUUAUAUUAAAAUAAUGACUGUUAUUAAUAAAAUCGUCGUCUUUACAAAUAAACAAUAACAGUGAAAACUCGUCAUAAUUGAUGUCAGUCGAUUUAACAACGGUUUUCAAAACAUCAUAACGACCGUGAAUCCUGUCGUCUAUUUCGUUUUGUUUACUUGAAAACUUGAAAUACCAUGUAAAAGAGCGAUAGGCAAACCUUUAUUUGGUCGUAUAUACAUAUUGCAAUUAGUGGCGGAUUCGGGAUUCAAAAGUCAAAUAGGCGAAACUUACCUUAAAAACUUGACGGUACGAGUGAAUUUUAUGCAUAAAAAUAAAAAGAUACACCUAAUCAGGGAGGACGUAAUGAGCCUUACCCUCAAAUAUGCAUAUCUAUACAUAAAUAAAAGCUUAACAAAAAAAGAAGAAGUAAAUGCAAUGCAACACAAAACAAAACUAUUUAAAUCUAAAACUUUACCCUACGAGGCUUAGAAAUCUUAAAUUCCUCAAUUAUAUCUUCAUUAUCAAUAUUAUUAACAAACUCUCUUUCAAUGUGGAGAAUCAUGCAAUCAGCAAGGAAUUCAUCAGCUAUGGUGCUCCGAAGUCUAUUCUUAAUAAUUCUCAUACAUGAAAAAGCUCGUUCUGUUGUUGCUGUAGAAACAGGAAGAGUCAACACCAAUUGAAUCAACCUAUAAAGCAAAUGAUAGUUUUUUGCCAAAGUUGUUUCCGCCAAUUGUUGACAUAACUGAGGAAGAGUGGUGAGGUCCUUAAAGCAGGGAAGGCGAUGCAUAUCAUUUUGAAAAUACCUCAACUCAAUUUUUAAAGUUUUCAAGUCACUUGGACAGAAAUCAGCGGGAUAAAAUUUCUUAGCAAGUUUACAUAGAUGCCCAAUAGUGAAUGAUUUGAAGGAAUUACAAGGAUCCAAUGCUGAGUUAAGAAUAAGAAGUUCAAUUGUUUGCUUUAGAAAUCUGUCAUUUAACUCCCUCAACAUGCAAUCUAUCACAUCAUUAAAUACAUCAACGCGAUAGUAAUGUUCAACUAUAAUAAAAUCUUUUUGUUGACAAGAACGACGUGUAGCCAUCAUAUAACGAAAACUCAUAUUAGGAACAUCAAUACUGUGUUGUUCACAAAAUGAUACCACACUCAUGAAUAAAUCAUCCCAACCAUGUGCUCUCAUAUCUCAUAACUGUGAUUUUGUGUUUUCAACAAAGUUUAAAGCACUUACAAUAUCUUGAGUUUUUGUUUGAAACACUUGACAAAGAAAGUUGGUCAAUCCCAUAAUUUUAUCCAUUAAAAGAAAUGAAAACACAAACUCAAAAGACAUAAUAGCAAUAUAGUUAUUCUCUGCAUUGCCACGAAAUUGUUGGUUAGGUCCAUAAUCACUGAAUUCCUGGAUAAGUGUUUUAGUCUUUUUAAAUAAACUCAUCAAACUUGUAAUAGAGGCAAAGUGAGAUCCCCAACGAGUGGCUCCAGCUCGUUUCAAACUACGACCUUGAUUAAGUCCUCUACUUGUCUCAAGUUCCCCACAAUCCAACAACUCUUUGAGUUUAGCUUUUUGAAUUAAAUUAGCUCAUUACGGCGCUUAGCAGAAGCACUAACAAAAUUCACAAUGUUAGUCAACAUUGAAUACAACUUUCACAUACUUAUAUUGCUUUUUAUUGUUUUUCUUAAAGGAGAAAGUUUGAGUGGGCUGGGCUAUUGUUUUUGUUAAAGGGAAAAAUUUGAGUGGGUUGAGUUUGAGUAGGGAGAAGAAAUUUGAUUGUAUUGGGUAAUUUUUGGUUUGGCAAAAAAUGGAGUAAGCGGCUGCCUAUUCUGCCCUUAGGGUAGGACCACCCUUGGUGGAUUGAGUUUGAGUAGGCAAAAGAAAUUUGAUUAUAUUGGAUGUUGGGUAAUUUUUGAUUUGGUAAAAAAUGAAUUAGGCCGCUGCCUACCCUGCCCUUAGGAUAGGACCGCCCCUUGCAAUUAUUACGUUAAUAUGAAUUCAUAUAAAAUAUAUUUUCAAUAAUUUAUAUAAAAUAAUUGUGUUGAUGUGUUUCAUGUGAUUCAUGAAGUAUGCAUGUUUCAAGCACUAUAUUUUUAAAGUUAUCCAAUAAAUUAAUAAAUAUUGCACCAUUUAGGUGUCGUCACUCAGACUCUCACUUGUAUUUAAGGGGAGCCCAAAUUAUGUUCAUUAACAUUCUGCCUUGUACACACGUCGAUCGCUACUUAUACUUAAUUCUGAGUAUCAUCACAACAACAACUGAUAGACAUGGCGCCUCUGAAAGGUAAGGUUGAGACUGAAAUAGAAAUUAAGGCACCAGCUGAGAAGUUCUACAACAUCUUCAACAGCCGGGCACACCACGUCCCAAACAUUUCUCCUGGCAGCAUUCAAGGAGUUCAGGUGCAUGAAGGAGACUGGAAAACACAUGGCUCUAUUAAGAGUUGGAAUUACACAGUUGGUAAGGUCAUCUAUAUACAUGUUACAUGUAGCGAGUGUACAUCUUUAAUUCCCUACCUAACAAAAUACAAUUAUGUCUUGUGAAAUAGGGGACGAAGUCGGGGUAUUCAAGGAAAAGGUGGAGUACAACGAUGAGAACAAGUCCAUAACUCUGAAUGGGGUGGAAGGAGAUGUCUUCAAGUAUUUCAAAAGCUUUAAGCCUGUCUAUCAAUUCACUCAAAAGGAUGAAGGCAGCAUUGCGACCUUGUCGAUUGCAUAUGAGAAAUUGAAUGACAAUGUUGCAGCUCCAGACAAGUACGUUGGUUUGAUGGUAAAUAUUGUCAAGGAUCUUGAUGCUCACUUUAUCAAGGCAUGAGGAAAAACAUGCAACGGUGAAAAGAGCUACGUACUGCUUGCUGGUUCAUCGUUAAAGUUCAUGAAUUAUAUUAUCGUGUUAAUUAAUGCGUGCUUUGUUUAAUUACAAGUAGUUAAAAAAUGCUUUGCUAUGUAUUUGUGUCAAGGGGAUGUCAUAUGUGAUAUUGUGAUGUAUUAACUAUGGUUAUCACAUAUAUAAAAUAAAAUGAGUGGUGUGCUGAUGUGUCCAGUUUUUGCUCAUCAUUCGUUAUAUCAACCACAAAUAGCCUUAAUACUUAACAAUUAUAACAAGUUACAACCCAACUGGUUUGGACGAAAAUGUUCAAUUAACUAUUUACCCCAAAAGAUAAAAACUAAAAAUAUUUAAUGUGAUAGGAACUUCCAUUACUUCGGUUUGCCAAAAUACAAUUGAUGUUUCAACAAAAGAAAAGAUUGAUUGAUGUUAUAGUCUGAUAACUAUGGUUAUCACAUAUACAAAAUAACAUGAGUGGUGUGAUGCGUCCAGUUUUUGCUCACCAUUCGUUAUAUCAAACUACAAAUAGCCUUAAUACUUAACAAUUGAAAAACAUUGAAAAAAAAAGAUUGGGGAUAAUUAUUGGACAAAGCCAAAGCUGAAUUGCGGAGAAGUCUUCCAAUUUUAGUUUGCAGUUUCCAUCUAAUGCAUUUUUUAUUUGCUUCAUGGUGUGACUGGCACUCAAAUAGAGCCUCCAUAAGUUCUAAGACUCGGUUGAAAUAUCCCAUUUUGCAUGUAAUGUCUACAACACAUUGUGGCGUUAAUUAGUUGGAUUGAUCUAAGUUUUUGUGUACUCCCAAACAGUCAUGAGUUUAAAUUCUUAAUUGUAAUUGUGUGUGUAAGUUUCCCCCUCUCCAAUGGCAGAGUCAGAAAAUCUAUCAAAAGAGGUCAACCUCAAAUGACAAGAUUAACACAAAAAAAAAAAAAAAAAAUCAUCUGAUAAUAAAAUCCUUUGUAUUAAUUUCUAUAUCAUUCCAAAAUAUUUACAACAGAGCAUAGGUUGUACAUCUUCAAUUUGAAUUGUCAUGCUUUUGAGUUUGUUUUCUAGGGUAAGAUGUCAUGCUUUUAGAUUUAGGUAAGUAGGUUAAUAAUUAUUAAGUUAUUACAAAUAAAGAAAUAAUUAAAAGGGUAAGUAGCAUAAGUUUGGGACAUGGGACACAAAAUAUUUCAUCUUUAUUUUUAUAGUUUUUUCGCCAAGUAAGAUGGUGAGAAGGGUCAAAUUUCAGAAAUACUGUAUAAAAAAAUCAAGUACAAACAUGUAAAAGAUCAAAUAUGCAAAACAUGAGAAGGGUCAUUUGACCACUGUGUUGAUGUGAGUCUCCUAAUUAAUCAAUGAGAUUUUAUUUCCUUGAUUAAUUAAGGAAUUUACUUUUUUAUUUUAUAUAGUUAAUUGUAUAAUUAGGAGAUACUAUCCUAAUUGAUUACUGUAUCUAUUUCCUUGUAAAACACUCAUGUAAAUUCAUAUAUACCUCCUUAUGGAGAAGAAUAAAACUUAACAUAAAGUUUUCAAACUAUAUUCAUAUUUUAGCAUGAUAUCAGAGGAAUCGAUCAUAGGUUGUCUCUAAACCUUCAUAUAAUUUCUCAUAUUCAAAUCCAAAACCCUAAAUCAAAUUCCUCACAACCAAAUCCCUCAACUCUAAAGUCCUCAAAUCCUCUUAUCAAAAUUCCUAAACACAUACCCUCAAACCUCUCAAAUCAAAUUCCUAUAUAAAAUUCAUACGUAAUAUUCCUCAAAUCAUAUUCCUUCAAUCAAAUUCCCCAAUCAAAUUCCUCUCAUUCUCAUAUUACAUCUUACUUUCGCUGAAUUGUCAGGACCCCCUACGAUUCUGUCCCUUAUUGUAGACUCACAUAAGCAUGCGAUCAAUCCUACUAACCCGACUACCCGGACUCGUGCUUCUAUCGCCAUCCCGAAAGGUUUUGGUUUUCAUACGUACUCUCAAAAAUCCGCAUGGAUUAUUGACUUGGGUGCUACGGAUCACAUGACAUUUGAUCCUGGCCAACUUAUUAGUCAUAAAUCAUUCACUCUAUCGGUGGUGUCUAAUGCUAAUGGUACCUCUUCCUCUAUGGUUGGGGAGAGCUCUCUAUCUCUCUCUACUUCCCUACAUCUGGAUUCUGUAUUAUGUACCAUCCCACAUCUACUAACGGAGAGGGAGUGAUGUGCCUUAUAUGUACAUGCCCACCUCCAUCUAGCACGAGGCAUUUUGGGAGCUCAUUGGCUUCGGAGUCAUGAGAACUCCGAAGUUAAGCGACUUGGGGCUAGAGCAAUCCCAGAAUGGGUGACCCACUGAGAAGUUGCUCGUGACAAUUAAUUGUUCCAUCCUUGGACCACAACUUAUUGUCUGUUGCACAACUUACUACUACUCUAGGGUGUACUGUAAUAUUUUGGUCGAAUGAUUGUGUUUUUCAAGACAUCCUCAUGGGAAAGACGAUUGGUUAUGGUACUCGGUGGGGCAAACUGUAACACCCCGACUCCAAAUUAAAUUCCCUAUUUAAAUUAUUUAAUUUAAUUACAUAUGAAAUUACGAAUUUACCCUUGGGGUAGGGGUAUUUUGGUUAUUUUCUUAUACAAAGAGAUUUUGGGGGUAACAAAUGGUAUUUUUAGGUAGAUCGUACUGAGAUGAGUCUGUAGACACGUAGUGGACUCGAAUCGGAGUUGUAACGAAGAAGUUACGAUCAAAACAAGUUCAAUGGUAUAACCGUAAUUUCCUCGAAGUUGGUUUGAUAAAAAUCUGAUUUUUGUCUCUCUCUCUCUCUCUCUCUCUCUCUCUCUCUCUCUCUCUCUCUCUCUCUCUCUCUCUCUCUCCAGUGCGAAUCCCCCUUCCGCGUCAAACAACAGCAGCGGUUUUUCCACCACCAUUGCUGCCACACGCCACCAUUUGAGGUGGCACUAGUCCUAAAACGACCGGCUGGUCUUCCUCUUUCAACCCUAGCCAAGCCCCGCUACCAGCAGCCGCGCGAUUCUCCAGAAUCUACAGAAAUAGCGUCGGUUUUUCUAAAAAUUUAAAUCGCUCAUUCUCUCUCAAUUCUCCACCAAUUUUGUCGUGUAAGGUAUAGAUUUCCACCUAUUGUCCAUGAUCUAGCUGAUGGUUAGGUAUGAAUUUAUCAAUUUUGAGCCUACGUAGUUUGAUUUUCGAAUUGGAUUUCGGCCAAUUUUGGGAUCACGAUUUUAGCCACUUCCGGUCACUUUUUGGAGUAGGCCCAAGAACAAAAGUGACUCUAAAUAGGGUGUUAUACCUAGAGUAGGAGUCUUGAGCCGUAAUUUUGAAUAUUUCUGGUAAAUCAUUAUCGCUUUGGACACCCACGCACUGUUGGUACGUGUGGCGCGCGUGGGCAAUGUAGCAAAAUGGGCAUUAUGUCCCGAUGUGAUCUCCUGGUACUCACGAGCGCGUAAGUACUUUCGGAUUCCAAUUUGAUUAACGUUUGAACAUCGAACGAAUUUCGCCUAUUGUGCAUUAUCACGGUUCGAUAUGUUCGAAUUGUUGGAUCGUCUCAAAUUUAAUAUAUGUUACUCUAGACUUUCCUAGGAUCGUGUAAGAAUUCGCAGAUCAUGAAUCGGAGUCCCGGAUGUUCCGAUUCAAUAACUUAAAGUUUGCAUUUUACGAUAAACGUCCGAUCGUGAGCGAUCAAACCGUCCGUUUUGGACCAAAUUUACAAGACGUGUGUUCUAAACCUUGUGAACCUUUAGGAACUUAUUGUCUCGUUCCUCAUACACUCACUAGAAACCCUGGAAACUAGGAUUUUAAUUCAAUGUUAUCGUUCAAAACGCUUUGUGUUAAUCUCGUAUUCGUAUUCUGAAAUAGGUACUCCGACCACGUAUACGCAGCAGGCGGGACCCUCUCAGGGUCAAGUAGCGUGGGACUACCUGUGAGUGGACUUUGUUUUCAAAUCUUAUGCAUGAUUUUAUGAUGGGAGAAAGUAUGCAUAGUGUUUUAAUGGUGUAUUGGAUAUAUUAUUUAUUCAAUUGUUGAAAUUGAUAUUUUUAUGACGCAUUGGCAAUAUAUUUUGGGUUUUGACAUAUUUGAGUAUCUUGAGUAUGUAUAUAUGGAUUUUGAGAAAUUCUAUCUAUAAUUGUCUAUGUGUGGGGUAUUUGGGUUGUUGAGAUGAGAUUGUAGAAAGAAUUGAGUAUAGAAUGUCAAUUUGGAAUCCUAUAAGCACUACCCUAUGUACCUCCCUGAAUUUGGAACUUGGAUACGGAAACUUGAGAUACUUGGAAAUGUUGGAACCCGGGGCAUCCUUGACGGGGUGUUGCUGUGGACCCUUGAUUGGGUAGUUUGCGCGCGUAGGACUGGUCACAGACGUACCAGUUUUGAAGGUGUCGGCCGCACGUGCUGGCUGAGAGUUAGUCCCCUAGUUGGACGGCUCAUUCCCUAGCCACAUGGUCAAUUGAUGAAUUAUUUUAUGUGGGCUCUUCCAUGUGGACUAGUCAAACAAUCCCCCGGUUGGAUUGUUUUCCCGGUACAACUAGGUGAUUGUCAUAUUUAUAUUAUAUAUAUAUAUACAACUAUUCAUUUGUUCUUGUUUCUCGAUGAGGAUACUUCCUUACCGGUCGUGCCAAUGGGUACGCUUUCAAGAGUUUAGUUUUUGGGACUUAUUAUAUUUAAGUGGUGGGUUUGUAAAGUGUUCUUUAUGGAUUUCAGACUUGGCAUCCGGUAUUGAUUUAACUUGAUAUGUAUAUACUUGACUAUGAUGGUUUUGGGAUGCAUUUGGAUUUCUUUCAUGGUUUUCUAAAUGGUGGGGGUUAUAUUAUGUUGGUUUACACUGAACUGAACUUUAUUUUUGUCCACUCACAGUUUUCUGUUUUGCGCCCCCCAGCCAGUAGUUGAUUGAGCUCCACAGCCGAGCCGGAUUGUGUGCUUCUAAAUCUUGAGUCUUCGUAGGACUCUUUCAUCAUGUUAUUCCCGUUGAACUUUGUUUUUGUUGUAAUCAAAUUUUCUUAGAUAUGCUCUGUUAUCGCCCGUGCUAGGGUUUGAUUUUUGAGGCCGGAGGCCUUUGUUGUAAACUGUUUAUUCGCCUUAAAGCAUGUUGCUGGUUGGGAUAUCAAAUUGUGAAUUUUGAGCAGGUUGAAAUUUGGGAAAUGUUCAAUUUGCAGGGGCGACUCUGUCAAAAUUUUGGUAGGAAGUCUCUGUCUUUAGUAAGUGGGCCCGACAUCUGGGUGAUAUCGAAAAUAAGUGGGCCCGACAUCAGAGGAAAUCCGGGGUGUGUCCUGUCACAAACUCUACUACUUGGACUGGGCGCCGGAUAGUGUGACCAAGAUUGGUCAAGCUUUCACAACUAGUGGAACUCAUUCUGAGGGGGAGAGAGAUAAAGUUUGGUUAUGGCAUAAACGUCUUGGGCAUGCCUUGUUCUGUUAUCUUAAGAAGUUGUUUCCAUAAUUAUUUUUCAGUCUUGAUGUUCCUAACUUCCAGUCUGAUAUGUGUGAAUUGACUAAGAGCCAUCGUGUCCCGUUCCCAUUAAGUUCACAUAAAAGUUUGAUUCCGUUUUCUCUUAUUCAUUCUGAUAUUCGGGGACCUGCUAAAAUUGCCACUCUAGUAGGAGCCCGAUGGUUUGUCACGUUUAUAGAUGAUUGCACACGCAUGAUUUGAGUUUCCCAUCUCAAAACUAAAGAGGAAGUAAGUUUCAGGUUUCAACAGUUCCAUCAAAUAGUGUUUCAUGCUAGAAUUUAGGUUUUUCGUUCUGACAAUGGAGAAGAAUUUCUUAACCAUGAUCUUAACCAAUUCUUACAAGAUCAUGACAUCAUACAUCAAUGCUUAUGCCCUUACACUCCCUAAUAGAAUGGAGUGGCUAAAAGAAAGAACAUACAUUUCUUGGAAGUAGUUCAUGCCUCUCUCUUUGGCGCCAAUAUGCGUCGAUCUUUUUGGGGAGAAUCCAUCGUCUCUGUAGCAUACCUCAUCAAUCGGAUUCUCUCUAGUAUCAUAAAUUUUCAAACACCACUUCAAACACUUCACCACCAUAUCCAAAUACCAACCUGAAACCCCGGAUUUUCUGCUGUGUUGUAUUUGUCCACUUACAUGAUCACCAACGAAGCAAAUUGGAUCUUUGAGCCAAAAAGUGUGUUUUCAUUAGCUAUGUACCUCAUUAGAUAUGAUACCGGUGUUAUCAUCCUCCUAGUCAGAAUGUCUAUACCUCCAUGGAUGUUGUGUUCCGGGAACACGACUUAUAUUUUUCAGCAGCACAUGAGGAGAAUCGAGAAUCCACCACUCCUCAAAUUCUCUAUUUUUCCCCCCAAGAAGUCACUAUACUUCAAAACAACCGGUCACCCUCAUUUAGCUCUUCGAGCAUGGAGAAUUUGCUUCAAAAUGACCUGUUGUAAGAGGAAAGCGACCGGUCACCCCCUUAGUUCUUCAAACACGAAGAAUCUGCUUCAAAACUACAUGUCGCCAGAAAAUAGUGACUAGUCAUAAGAGGAAAAUGAUUAGUUGUCUCCAUGCUGUCAAACUCAGUAGGAGGAAAUUGAACCGUUUUUAAAAAAUGAGAUUUUGCCAGCUCCAAAGAAUUCUUCAACUCCAGUACCACACCAAUCACCUGUUGAGGAAGUCAAUUAGAUACCAUCUUUCCCUGAAACUGAUAACACUAAUGAAAUAUCCCACGAUGAUUUGAUUUCAGAAGGUACAAAGCCUACAUAUCAGCUUCUAGAAAGGAAGAACCGUGACAAACAUCGAAUACAAUAUGAAGCAUAUCUUAAAGCCAAAGGAAAAUACCCUAUCAAUAAUUAUAUAUCUUUUAGCAGAUUAACAGAGGCAUGUGUGCACUUUGUGAAACAGUUGACUGACAUAUCUGUCCUCAACAGUGUGACUGAAGCACUAGAAGACCCCAAAUGGAAAAAAGCCAUGAAUGAAGAAAUGCGAGCCCUCCAAAAGAAUGUCACAUGGGAACUCGUGCUCUUACAUCGUAGAAAGAAGACAGUAGGAUGCAUGUGGAUUUAUACUGUGAAAUUCAAAGCAGAUGGAUCCAUUGAAAAAUAUAAAGCUAGAUUAGUGGCAAAUGGGUACACAGAGAGAUAUGAGAUAAACUAACAGGAGACCUUUGCCCCAGUAGUCAAGAUUAGCACUAUCAAAGUCCUAUUAUCUCUAGCAGCAAAUCUCGAUUGACCAUUACAUUAGUUUGAUGUCAAAAAUGCAUUCUUACAUGGAGACUUGGAAGAAGAAGUAUAUAUGGACCUACCACCAGGAUGUAAUUUAGCUCGUGACAAGAAGAAUCAUGUUUGCAAGCUCAAAAAGUUAUUAUAUGGAUUAAAGCAAUAUCUUAGAGCAUGGUUUGACAAAUUUACUAAAUCUAUGAAGAAUUUUGGAUAUACACAGAGUAAUUCAGAUCACACCCUAUUCGUGAAGUGUGAUGGAAGAAGACUUACUGCAUUGAUUGUUUAUGUAGAUAAUAUAGUCGUAACUGGAAACGACAUCGGAGAGCAACUAAAGCUGCAAAAGUAUUUGUCUCGGGAAUUUGAGAUGAAAGAUUUAGGUGAUCUGAAGUACUUUCUUGGAAUUGAGGUAGUAAGGUCAAAUACUGGUAUAUUUCUGUCUCAAAGGAAGUAUGUAAUGGAUCUACUCACUGAAACAGGAAUGCUUGGGUGUAAGCCGGUUGACACAUCUAUUGAGAUGAAUAACAAGUUGUGUGAAGACAUGGACCAAUAACCAUCUAAUAAGGAACAGUACCAACGCUUCAUUAGAAGGUUGAUAUACCUGAUACACACAAGACAAGAUAUUGCAUAUGAUGUGAGUGUGGUUAGUCAAUUUAUGCAUUCACCCAGUGUUUUUCAUAAGAAUGCAGUUGAUCGGAUCUUAAGAUACUUAAAGUCAGCCCCUGGGAAAGGAUUAAUGUUCUCAAAAAAUGGAGAUCUUGAAGUUGUUGAAUAUACAUAUGCUGAUUGGGCUGGUUCCAUUACAGAUAGACGAUCUACUUAUGGUUACUUUACAUUCGUAGGAGGUAACCUAGUCACUUGGCGGAGUAAAAAAUAAAAUGUGGUUUCUCGGUCUAGUGUAGAAGCAGAGUAUCGAGGAAUGGCCCAAAGAGUUUGUGAAUUAUUAUGGAUUAGAAAACUCUUGACAGAAUUGGGCUUUGAGCUAGAAAAUCCACUAGAGUUGCAUUGUGACAACAAGUUAGCUAUCGAUAUUGCCCAUAAUCCAGUUCAACAUGAUUGAACCAAACAUGUUGAGGUGGAUAGACAUUUCAUCAAGGAAAAAAUUGAAAAUAAGAUCAUCAACCUACCAUUUGUAAAAUCAAAAGAUCAAUUGGCAGAUGUCUUAACAAAAGCUGUUUGUGGAAGAGUGUUUCAUGACUCAAUUACUAAGUUGGGCAUUGGUGACAUAUAUGCACCAACUUGAGGAGGAGUGUUGACGUGAGUCUCCUAAUUAAUCAAGGAGAUUUAUUUCCUUGAUUCUCAUUGAUUAAUUAAGGGAUUUACUUUCGUAUUUUAUAUAGUUAACAAAUCAUUGUAUAAUUAGGAGAUACUAUUCUAAUUGAUUAUUGUAUCUAUUUUUUUAUAAAGCACUCAUGUAAACUCCUAUAUAUAUCUCUUUAUGGACAAGAAUAAAACUUAACCUAAAGUAUUCAAACCAUAUUCAUAUUUUAGCACACUGUGAGCCUUAAUUGGCUCCGCCCACGCCCCUUUCCUUCCUAACUUUGACCCAAAAAAAAACAUACGAAUAUUAAAUUCUACGUUCUCAAAGUGGGUUAGUUCCAUGAAUCAAGUUCACUGAUAUACUCUAACUAAAUUAAGAAAUUAAAUUUGGUACGGUUUUGUUUGGGAUCCAAAAUUUAAAUUUGAUAGGUAUAGAUAGUACAUGUAUACCUACCAUGUUAACCAUUCUUAACCAAUUUAAUAAAUUUGAGGACUCAAAUUAUGAGUCUGUAUUGUAACAACCCGAUCCUAAAUUAAUAGUUAAACAUUAAAUUAUUCAAGGAAAAGACAAUUUUACCUUGGGAAUAUUGAAAUGAUUUAAGGGUUGACUUUUUAUUCGGGGGAGAUUAAAUUAUUAAAAUAAGAGAAAAUAAAUUGAAAUAAACAAUAAAAUAAAAUGAUUUGAAUUAAUUAAGGUUUUUGAAAAUUAAAGAUAUUAUUUAAUAUAAAAAGGGGUAAAAAGGUCAUUUUAAGUUCGAGAAGGAAUUUGGAAAUUCAAAUAAGACUGUUGCAUAGAGCACGUCGAGACGAGUCCUUAGACACGUAGUGGGCUUGAAUCGGAGUUGUAACGAAGAAAUGGCGAUCAAGAAUAGGCCAGUGGCAUAAUCGUAAAUAUUUCGAAGUUCAGUUUUUUAAAAACCCAGAAUUUCUUCACUUGGGCAGCCCGACCAGCCAAAUUCGGAUCGUGAUUUCUCCUAACCCCCGCCAUUGUUUCAAGCAAGACCGGUCCCAGAUGAACCACCACAUUUCUCUUUUCUAGUUCCAGCCCUUCGCCGCCUCAAUCUACCGUCGUAAUCGUCAGAAUCAGCCACGAAACAGACAGUUUUGGAUAGAUUUUUCUUAAACUUUCGCCGGCUGUUUCUCCCUCCUCUGGCCACCAAACAGGUUAAAUAAGGUAUUCUUUUCCACCUAUUUUUCGAGCUCUAGCUGAUGGUUGGGUAGGAUUUGAUCGAUUUGUAGCAUAGAUAACCCGAAAUACGAAUUGAAAUUUGGCCGAUUUUCAAAUUGAAAUUUCGGCAACUUCCGACCAUUUUUCGGGGUAGGUCCAAGAACAAAAGUGGUUCCAAAUGGGGUUUUACACCUAGGGUAGGAAUUUGGGCAGGCGUUGUGGCAUUUUUCGGCCACUGGAAUUUACUCACGACAUCCACGCGCUGCCGGCGCUUGCGGCGGCGCGUGGACCAGCCUUUGGACCGGCUUAGGGUUUCAGAAUGAUCUCCUGGUCCUCGUGAGCGUGUAGGUACUUUUGAAUUUCAAUUCAGACAACAUUUGAACACCGAAACGGAUCUCGCUUAUUGUGCGAUUUCUGGGUUUGAUACGUUUGAACCAUUGGAUCAUAGUCAAUUUCAUAUAUGUUAAUCUAGAUAAUUCCAGGAUCGAUAGGACUCGACGGAUCGUAAAAUGGAGUCCUGGAUACUCCGAAAAUGCCAACCCUAGGGCUAGGUUUAUAGUAAUUAUCCGAUUGGGCGAUCAUGGGUAACCCGACCUUUCGGUCAAGACCAAACUCUCGGGACAUGUGUCCUUGGCACAUUGGAACCUUUAGGGACUCCCGAAUUUGUGAUGGGAGGUUAUGGGCCCCGCGGGCUCGGUUGAUCAAGUUUAGGCAUUUGACCCCUCGGUUGACCAUGGGUCUUCUGAGGUAGUUUUAUCCUUCGAGAAAUGUUAGAACGACGGUGUAAACGGGUCCUGAUCGAAGACUGAGUCAUUAGGAUCAUAUCAUGGUUUUUCAAACCCACCACAAGGGUAUCCCGUAGUUGCUUUGAAAUAGUGUCAUUUAUAUAUAAUGUCCCAUGUGUUUCGGGGACUCCUGAAUUGUGUGGUGAGAGGAAUGCGGCUCAGGCUGACUAAUGGUCCCCUGAGGCUUACGAGGAUUGCACUCGAAUAGCAGUGAUAUCUCCGAGGCCUACGAGGAUUGCGGCUUGGAUAGAAGUGGUAUCUUCGAGGCCUGCAAGGAUUUGCUGCUCCGAUAGAAGUGGUAUCUCCGAGGCCUGCGAGGAUUGCGGCUCGAGUGGACUUGGUGUCUCUGAGGCCUGUGAGGAUGGAAUUGACGAAUCAGGAAUGGGGGUACGCCUAGGUGGAGAGAAUUUCAGUUUUGAGAUGUUCUUAAACUAAAAUAGAAGGAGUUCAGUGCAUGACAUAUUUAUAUUCAGUAUAUGAUUGAUACGAGUAUUGGGAAGUUACAAAGUAUUGCUUUAGAGUUGUGAAUACGAUUGAGUAUAACACACACAUGAGAAUUCAGUUUGAUUUGCAAAACACAUGGCAAUAUGAUGAAUGAAUAAGAUAUUCAAUUACAUUAUUAAAGGGAAAGAACUACCUGUGGCUUGAUCCCUCAGUAGGAGUACGUAGGCAGUCUAAUGUUAGAAGGUGCAGCCACGAGUUGGAGUCUUUGAGAUUGCUAAUGUACUAAUGGAUAUUUUGAAAGUUGAGAUGAACUUUAUUAGUAGAAUGAUUUAUUUGAUUGGUUGAGGCCAAAGGCCAGAAUGAUAUGAUAUUUGAUUUCUUGGAUAUAAUUUAAUGUUUGCUGAACAGUUGGGUUAUAUAUGUAUAUGCUUAUUUGAUAGGUGGAAGUUUUGGGGAAAUGAUCAAUUUACAGAGGAGACUUUGUCGAAUUUUCGGCAGAAGUCAAACUUAAGGAAAUUUGAUUUCUAGUUAGAAGGGCAAUUUGGUCAUUUGUGCCUGAUAUUUGUCAGGUUUCGGACACACACAGGGUUCGGCUUAGAUUCCAAAGUGAAAUUUGAGUCGGGUCCUAUCAUGUAUGGUUGGAGGAAAAAUAUUUUAAAUCCGGACAAUACAUGAAUAAUUAUAUUUUAAAGAGUGAAAAUUUGAGUUUAGUCCCAUCAUAGUUGGAGAUGACCUUACUUGUCUUCUCCGCACAUAUUGUGAAUCACAAUUUUUGUGGAAUCCCUUCUAUCAAUGGUAACACUGACAAAUCUCGAAAUACACCAACCCAGUUAUUAAACUACUCGACUAAACUGUUCGACUUCUCCCCAUAAUGCAUUCCUUUAAAAAAUGCGUUGGCAUAGUGAUCUCUAGACAAAUCAGAUAUAAAUGUCUUCACUUUCAAACUCCCGACAAUCACCAACUCAUAUAUUGCUACUUUAAACUCUUCCUCUGUAACAGCAUAUGCUCAUCUACUAAAUAGAUUGAUAACAUGGUCUUGGAGCAGUUUCCCAUAACUUGACUUCGGGUACUUUGAUAUCAAAUUUUGUUUGAGGUGAUAGUAACAGUAGGAAUGAGGCCAUCCAGGAAACACAGCCCCCAUUGCAUUUAACAAACUUUGAUUACAGCCCAAGAAAAAAGUCACCAUUCUCCCCAUCGGUGGCAAUAUAGCAACCAAAUGUUGAAGAAACCAAGUCCAACUCUCCUCUGUCUCAGAAUCAAUAACUAAAACAAAACAAAAGGCACAAGUAUAAGCAACAAACGGAAACUGCAGUGCAUUCUAUGAAAACAAAUCUUCUCAAAUUUGAAAGGAAACCAAAAGGCAAAUCCAUGAUCAAAGUACAAAAACUAAGUUCAAAAUACAUAGAAGUCCAUGAGCGGGUGUAACAUUCCCACAGACUUGCAAAUACUAUUCUGAAAUUGAAUUAUGAAACAAGAAACUACAACAAAUGGAAACCGCAGUGCAGUUUAUGAAAACAAAUCUGCUCAAGUGUGAAAAGAAAACUAAAGGAAAAGCCAUGAUCAAAGUACUAAAGCUAAGUUCAAAAGACAUUUAAGUCCAUGAGCAGUUGUAACAUUCUCAUAGACUUGCAAAAAAUUAUUCGAAAAUCGAAUUAUAAAACAAGAAACUGCACUGUAGUUUAUGCUCAAAAACUCCAACAAACGGAAUUUGCAAUGUAGUUUAUGAAUGCUCAAAGAACAAUUGACAACACACAAACAAUAUUACACAAAACAGUAAACAUAAUCUGCAAUGCAAAGUACACAAAAUGCCAGCAAUAUUACACAAAACAGUAGUGCAGAUUAAACAAAAAUCCAAUACAGUGCAAUAACUACACCUUGAUUCCCAUUCUUGCCAGAAGCACAAAAAAGAUGCCCCUUGUACUUGCUCUUAAAAAAUAUAGCAUCAGUGAACAACAAAGGGAUGCAAUAUUGAAAUCUAGCAAUUAAAUAGCCAAAUGAUACAAAAAAUGGGCUAAAUCGAUUAAUUCCAUCUUCACUCGCAUAGAGAACCACCGUUAGUUUCCUUAAAGGCAUCCAUGUACCACACUAACUCGUUGAAGGACUUCGACUCAUCACCAUGAACGUCCAGUUUUGCUAACUCUUAGAUACUGUAAUAAUCUUUGAACUCGUUUAUAGUCUCAACUAGUUCAGCUCUAGUUUUGCAUGAAUUAUGUCAACAAAGAGAGAGGACUCCACAUGAGACCUCAUCAUCUUAUUCUUUGAUUCUUGUAUCUGACCCGCACAUGUAUGCACAUUAUUUAAUGUCCGAAUUACAAAACAACCAGUAGCUUCACACCAAGACGCAUAAACAUGCCAACUACAACCCUCCAACUUCUUAUUUCAACAAACAUCAAUCACUUGCCUCUUGUCAUUGCCGGCAUAGAAAAAAUUAAAUCCUACUUCAAGAGCAUACUUGCACAAUUUUAACCGGAAGUCCUCUACACCACCAUCAAACUUCUGCCCUACAUGAUGUAUGUAGUCUCCCAUUCAUUUGACAACAAAGGCUUAGAACUGGCUCUCUUUGAUCUACCCAAAAAUUCAUUUCUGUCUUCAACAGUAUUAGAACACGAUGACUCACCCUUUUCACAUGCUAUCAACUCCUUAUUUCCACAAAAAUCACCAUUAUCCUCACUGCUCCCGCAUAAAUCCUUAACUAAAAUAUCCACACUCUUCGCAUUUGAUAUCGCCAAAUAUGCCAUCAUCAUGUCUAAAUCACUAUUCGUUUCUGGUAAACAACUCGAAUAACCGAGCAGCAAAUACCGUAACGUGAAAAUACCAUAACCAUGGAUGACUUUGCUGAAACUGAAAACAUAAUGGUUUCCAACUUCUAUGUGCACUUGGCUAUGCCACAAACCUCCAUUAGCCUUGAAAAUGCAAACAAAACAACAAACAAAAACAUAAAACAAUUUAAAUCAGUAAAUAACAUAGAUGAGCAAUUUUAACAUUCCCAUAGACUUGCAAAUAUUAGUCUGAAAUCGAAUUAUGAAACAAGACACUGCAAUGCAGUUUCUAGUAAAAAACUGCAACAAAUGGAAAUUGUAGUGAAGUUUAUGACAACAAAUCUGCUCAAGUAUAAAAAGAAACCAAAAGGCAAAGCCAUGAUAAAAGUACUAAAGCUAAGUUCAAAACACAAUUAAGUCCAUAAACAGUUGUAACAUUCUCACAGACUAGCAAAAAUUAUUUUGAAAUCGAAAUAUGGAAUAGGAAAAUACACUGCAGUUUCUGAUAAAAAAAAUGAAAUAAACGGAAACUGCAGUGCAGCUUAUGGGAAAACAUAUGCUCAAAUUUGAAUAAAAAUCAAAAGGAAAAUCCAUGAUAAAAGUACUAAAACUAAGUUCAAAACACAUUGAAGUCCAUAAGCAAUUGUAACAUUCCCAUAUACUUGCAAUGCAGUUUAUAAAACAAGAAACUCAAAAAUUGCAACAAACAGAAACGGCAAUGUAGUUUAUGGUAGAAAAUCAAAAAACUUCGAAUAGAAACCAGAAAGAAAAGCCACGAUCAAAGUACUAAAACUAAAUUCCGAAAACAUAUAAGUCGAUAUAAAUGAAAAAAGGUUCUCAAGUACUCAUACCUCAACACCUAGGACUGCCAAAAAUCUCCCCAACCAAAUAGCUGCUCAAAAUCAAAUCUGAUCACAAAACGAAGAAGAUACAAAAUGGCAUGCACAAAAUCGCGCCACAAAACUGAGCUCGAAAUAGGAGAACUAAGAUCGAACCAGAGCACAGAAAUCACACGCCAAAACAAACCUUGAUUCUGCAUGCAAAAGAAAAAUUACACCCAAAACAUAAAGAUCAAUCUAAAUAGCACAAAACAUAAUCAGAAUAAAACAGAAAAAUGAAGAAAAUCGAACAAAAACCUACCAGCAAAUUGAAGCUCCAAUCGCAGCUAAACGAACUAGAGCUCCAAAACGUCAAACUGAACGAAAACGAAAGAGAAAAGUUCAAAUCACGCGUAAUUUAAAUAGACAGGUGUAAAAAAGUCAUUUACUUUGCAAGUUUCAGAGUUAGGCCAGGCUUUUUAAGAAGAAAGGUAGCAUUGUCUUUUCAGUUAUUAUUUUAAGCUGGCCCAACGAAUCUGGACCUCAUCUUUGGCCUAGUCCAAAAUAACAAUUCUUUCCUAGGUAUUAACCUAAACAAAAAUACCCAAUAUCUCAAAUACUAAUUAGUAAAGUUACUUAUGUCUAAUACCUCAUUUUUCUUAAAAUAAAAUAAGUAGUUUGAUGUGUCUAGUUUUUGCUCACCAUUCGUUAUAUCAACUACAAAUAGCCUUAAUGCUUAACAAUUGAAAAACAUUGACAAUAUAUAUAUAUAUAUAUAUCAAUAAAAUAAUGAAAAAAAGAUUGGGGAUAAUUAUUGGAUAAAGUAAAAGUUGAAUGGGAGUAUUUUUGCUCAUCACUUUAACUCAGUUGUAAUCUUAUCAUCCUUCUCAACACUUGACACGUGUCUAUUAACAUAGCCAUGGUUCCAUAAAUACAAAGUAAAGAGUUAACUAUGGUUAUGCCAAUAGACAUGUGUCAAGCGUUGAGAAGGUUGGUGAAGGUACACUUUAAGUUAAAGUGAUAAGGAAAAAGCAUUUUGAGUCCGAGCAAUACAUGAAUAGUUGUAUUUUAGAGAGUAGAAAUUUGAGUUUAGCCCCCAUCAUGGUCGGAGAUGACCUUACUUGUCUUCUCCGCACAUAUUGUGAUCAUUAAUAAAUGUGUUUCAUGUGUUUCGUGAGUUUCAUGAUGAGCAAGCACCUGCUACCACUUAAAGUUAUAAUAUAAAAUAUCAGGCAAUUUUACUGUAAUGACUUGUAUUUAAGGAGAAGCCAAGUUAUACGUUGUUUAACAUUCUGCCUUAUACAUAUCAAAUUUCAAAACUGAUAAGCAUAAGCAUGGCUCUGCACGGUUUUAUUGGGACUCAAAUAGAGCUCAAGUCACCUGCUGAUAAGUUCUACAAAAUCUUCAAGGGUCAAGCCCACCUCAUCCCAAAUGUUUCUUCUGGCCAUAUCAAAGGUGUUCAGGUGCAUGAAGGAGAUUGGGAAACGCACGGCUCUGUUAAGAUCUGGAAUUAUCAUCUAGGUAAUUAAGUAACUAUAUGGUGAACCCACUUUGGACAAGUUUAAUUAUUUUCUGUUUCGUUGUUAACUAUGUCAUAUGGGUAUGAAAAAAAAAAUCAUAAGAUGAGCUUAUAUAUAUAUAUUUUUGUUGUGAAAUAAAUGUGACAGGGAACGAAGUUGGGACAUUCAAGGAAAAGGUCGAGUACGACGACGAGAACAAGGUGGCAACUUUGAUUGGAUUGGACGGAGAAGUGUUCAAGUAUUACAAGAGCUUUAAGGGCAUCUAUCAGUUCGCUCAAAAGGGUGAUGUUAGCGUUGCCAACCUGACGAUUCACUAUGAGAAACGGAAUGCGAAUGUUGAAGCUCCAGAUAGAUAUGUUGGUCUCAUGGUUACCCUCGUCAGGGAUCUUGAUGCUCACUUUGCCAAGGCAUAAUCGAAUAUCAAAAGCAAAUAUAUAUAUGUAUGUUAAUGCGUGCUUUGUGUGGUUAAUAUUAUAAGUAAUGCUUUGUUUUAUGUGAGUUUUUCUUUGUGGCAUGAAGGGAUUUCAUAUGUGAUAUAUUGUGAUGUAUUAGCUAUGUGGGUUAUCACAUAUAUAAAAUAAAAUGCGUGGUGUGCUAUAUAUAUAUAUAUAUCUCCAGUUCUUGAUCAUCAUUCAUAUAUCAAGUACAAAAUAGACUUAAAAAUCAACAAUAUCCAACUGUUAUUUGUUGCGCGCUUGGAUUCAAAGUACUUAAAAGACAAAAAAAUCUGAAGUAUGUUGCGUGCUUGGAUUCGAAUUUCACAUUGAACACUUAGCCUUGUAGAUGAAAAAGACACAACUAAAGUAGUAGUAAAAAAAGUAGUAGAAGCAGCUGGAAGCUCUUUCCUUCAUCAUUUGCGCUCUCCUUUCCCCUCUUCGUCUCUCUCUUUCUUUAUCUCUCUGCCCCUUCCCUGUGAAAAGAAAAGAAAGCGUAGCUGGAUGCGACGAAUGAAGGAUAGAUUCCACAAAGAAAAAAGUUUUCACGUUCUUCCAUUCCAUAAGCAACACUGAAGAAUUCCCUAAUAAUGUAUGGACGAAACUCUCAUGACAACUAAUUCAAAGCAAACACAACUCAACCCAGCUGACAGUGCAAUAAGCAUCCUCCCUCUCAAAACCCACCACGUAACAUAAUUAAAUUCAUUGUUAAGGUUCAUGAAUUAUAUUAUCGAGUUAAUUAAUGCGUGCUUUGUUUAAUUACAAGUAAUUAAAAAAAAUGCUUUGCUAUGUAUUUGUGUCAAGGGAUGUCAUAUGUGAUAAUGUGAUGUAUUAACUAUGGUCAUCACAUAUAUAAAACAAAAUGAGUUGCGGAGAAGUUUUCCAUGCAGUUUCCAUCUAGGAAAAUUCUCUAGUCCUUUGGUGUAUGGGUACACCAAAGGAUAUGGGCCGUUAGAUUGAGAUUAGUGGGAAAUGGACUAAUCUACACCUUUGGUAUGGAAAAUCUGAAAACCUAGUAUUGGAGGUAAAAAGGUUUAUUAAAUAUUAAAAUAUAUUACAGUGGCAAUUGAUACUCAUCAAUUGGCAAAUCGAUACCUAUCAAAUGCCAAAUCGUUACCCAUCAAUUGCCAUAGUCACUUGACGUUGUAAUCAUAGUGCAAAAGCUCGUAAAUUUGAACUCAAAUGUUGUAAUCUAUAAAAUUAAGGAUAGGCUUUAUAAUGUUAUGGAAUGUCUAUGUGCCAAAUAUUUUAAUAUGAUUCUUUAAGGUUGUAAACCAAUAUUUUUACAAGCAUAUGAAUAAUCUUAACAAUGUUAUGGAACUCUCAAGUCCCAAAAACUACAACAUGAGUCAUUAAUAUUGUAAAUCCUGGUUUUUACAAAAGCUAAGAACAAUUUUACUUUUUUAAGGUCCAACCAAACCUUAAUAUUGUAAUUGACAUUAUUUUCAUUGUAAAUUAGGCUAUUACAAUAUUAUGGAUUAAAGUAAACCUUAUUCUUGUAAUUACGGUGCAAAAGAUCAUAAAUUCGAACCAAAAUAUUGUAAUCUACAAUAUUAAGGAUAGACUUUGCAAUGUGAUAGAACGUUUAGGUAACAUUGUAAUAUGAGUCCUUAAUAUUGUAAAUCCCUGUUAUUACAAGAUUAUGGAUAAAAUUUAAAAUAUUAGGAAACUCUCAUGUGCCAAACAUUUUAAUAUGAUUCCUUGAGGUUGUAAACCAUUGUUUUUACAAGCUUAUGGAUCCUUUACAAUUGUAUGGAACCCUAAGUUCCCAAAAACUGUAACAUAAGUCUUUAAUGUUAUAAACCUCUGUUAUUACAAGAUUUUUGAUAAAAUUUAAAAUAAUGUUAGAGAGAACUCUCAUGUGCCAAACAUUUUAAUAUGAUUCCUUAAGGUUGUAAACCAUUGUUUUUACAAGCUUAGGGAUAACCUCUACAAUUGUAUGGAACUCUAAGGUCCCAAAAACUGUAACAUGAGUUCUUAAUGUUGUAAAUCUCUGUUAUUACAAGAUUAUGGAUAAAAUUUAAAGUGUUAGAGAACUCUCAUGUGCCAAACAUUUUAUUAUGAUUCCUUAAGGUUGUAAACGGUUGUUUUUACAAGCUUAGGGAUAACCUUUACAAUAUUAUGAAACUCUAAGGUCCCAAAAACUGUAACAUGAGUCAUAAUAUUGUAAAUUCUAUUUUUUACAAGAAUAAUGAACAAUUUUACAUGUUUAAGGUCCAACCAAACUUUAAUAUUGUAAUCAACGUUAUAUUCAUUGUAAAUUAUACUAUUACAAUAUUAUGGAUUAAAGUAAACCUUAACAUUGUAAUCACAGUGCAAGAGCUUGUAAAUGCGAACCUAAAUCUUGUAAUCUACAAGAUUGACGAUAGACUUUUCAAUUGUAUGGAAUGUUUCAAACGUUGUAAUAUGAGUCCUUAAUAUUGUAUACCCUUGUUAUUACAAGAUUAUAGAUAAAAUUUACAAUGUUAGGGAAUGCUCAGAGAUAGUUUGGCAAUUGCCAAUCAACUUGUCAUCAUUUGCAAAGUGGAAUGGCAAUUGCAAAGUGGACCUUGAAGAAGGAAAAUUGGUUCUUAUGCUUGUAAUUGUAAAUAUAAGGGUUACAACAUUAAAGAUCACGUUUACAUAUGUUCAUAGACCUCCAUAAUCUUGUAAACCAUAUCCUUAACUUUGUAAUAUAGUUCUUAUUUUGGAAAUUUUAUUUUACAAAUGCUAUUGGAUAUGCAAUAAGAUAUACUAGGUGAAAAUAAUAAUAUGUAAACUCAUACGCCAAUUGACAAAUAGAGAUAUCGUAAUUGCAAUUGUAUUUGCUAUGGAAACUAGACAACUUGUAUAAAAUAAUUAAAAAAUUGGGGAUAAUUAUUGGACAAAGCCAAAGCCGGAUUGCGGAGAAGUCUUCCAAUUUUAGUUUGCAGUUUCCAUCUAAUGCAUUAUUUGUUUGCUUCAUGGUGUGACUGGCACUCAAAUAUAUAAUAGCCACCACAAGUUCUUAGUUCGGUUGAAAUAUCCCAUUUUGCAUGUAAUUCCUAAAAUACACUGACGGUUUAGGUGUCCUUUAGUCUAAUCUUGUGAGUAGUGACCCUAUUCAAGUACAAUAUUGGUGGUGUCUAAAUACGAAGGUUAGAUAUGAAGUGUUAGUUAGAUUGGUUAAGGUUUUUGGUGCGCUCUCAUGUGGUCUUAGGUCUAAAUCCUCAUGGUAGCCGUGUAUGUGAGUUUACCCCUUUCCUUUCUAACUUUGAUCAAAAAAAUAUAUAUACAAUGUUAAAUUCUACGUUCCCAAAUGGAUUAGCUCCAUUAAUCAAGUUCACUGAUAUACUCUAACUAAAUUAAGAAAUUAAAUUUGGUAGGGUUUUGUGUGGGGUCCAAAAUUUAAAUUUGAUAGGUAUAGAUAGUACAGGUAUACCUACCAUGUUCAAGAUCCCGCCACGUUUAAUUGCCACACGCCACGUUUAAUUGUCACAUGUCAUAUAGAUCAAAUCAUGUAAAUAUACGAUUUCCUAUACGUUGCUGUAGGCAUACAUCGAAAUUUACAGCUUGACCUGGGCUUCCGUGGCUCUAUAUAAGGAGUGGAAGCUUAAUAGCUAUAUCGGUCAUCUACAAAAUUCUAAAAAGUAAACCUAAUUGUUUUGUCAGAGAAAAUGGCUUUGAGUGGAGCUAGUAAUUACAAGGCGGAGACUGUGGAGGCUGAGGUAGAGAUCAAAUCCAAUUCUGGCAAAUUGUUCAAGCUCAUCAGCAACCAGCACCACGACGUUCCGAAGGCCUCCUCUGAUAAUGUACAUGAUGUUGCGGUACAUGAAGGUGACUGGGAAACUUCUGGUUCUGUCAAGCUUUGGAAAUACACCUUAGGUACGUAUAUAUGUACUACUGGAAUAUGUAUAUAUGUCGUUUGAUUCUAAAUUACUAAAAUAUUUCAAUGCUAAUAAACUAUAUAUAUGUACGUGCAGAUGGAAAUGUUGAAACUUUAAAGGAAAAGGUAGAAAUAGAUGAAGCGAACAAGUUGGUGAGUCUUACUGCUUUGGAAGGAUCACAUGUGUUGGAGAAGUACAAAAGCUGUAAGAUCAUCUUCCAGGUCACUCCAAAGAGUGAAGGAGGUUUGGUGAAAAUUACCCUAGGAUAUCAAAGACUUAAUGAGAACGAUCCGCCUCCACAUAAGUACCUCCGGUUUUUGGUCAAUGUCAUUCAAGAUAUUGAUGCACAUCUUCUUAAGGAAUAAUUGCACCAACAAGAUUUAUGCGUGCAACUUUGAAGGAUAAUUACAUAUAUAUGUAAUAAAAUAAGGGCAAGCUAUCCUUGUUGUUAGUACCGUUUCGGACUUGCAAUUUCUAUCUUGGAAUUUAUAGGCAAGAAUGAAUUGAAUUGUGUGCAAUAUAUAAGUAUAUUGAUUGUGUGUGAACAAGUUUUCCUGGGUGUAUUAACUCAUCCAAAAGAAUAAAUUAUGAUCAGUAUAUUGUGCUACUCCUAGAAUGGUGUCCUUUUUUUAUUUUUUUUUAUUUUUAUUGUUGUUCUUGUUUUGCAUUAACAUAAAUACCUUAUUUCUACUUAACCAUACAAUUUAUCACUCAAAUUUGCUACUAAGGCAAAGCUGAAUUAUUGAUAUAUCUUCCAACAUGGCCCGCUUGGUUUGCAGUACUUUUCAUCUAGUGCAUUUAUUUGCUCCACCCAUGCUGCGGGCAUCGAGAAAGACCACAACUUUUGAGAAUUGUUCGACAUAUUUUGCACACCGCCAUGCCAAGUUUUGCAUGAAAAUCUCAUGGCAGAUGCGAAUGGUUUAGCUUGGAACCAUCGUCUCUGAGAUAUUUGGGAAUAGUGUGAAGGAAACUAUGGAAAGGCGGUUUCUCGAGGUGAUUCAAUUUGAGUAGAUAUCGUUUCGGGUUAAGUUUUUGAUGUUGUGAUGUCGUUUUGCUGAUCCAUAUACAACUGUAAGUUUUGGUUUAAAAGAAAUUUGAAAAUAAUGGCAUAAUGACAUAUUUUGUAAUUUUAAUGUUCUUUAAUUAUAUUAUGGUAAAAAUAGGUGCUAUAUUUUGGCUUUUGGUUUUAUCCUAAUUAGCUGAAAUUGAAUUCCUAUUAACCUAAAUAGUAAACUAUAUUUUUUUGUGAAAUUGAAUUCCUAUUAACCUAAAUAGUAGACUAUAACAUCAAUCAAUCUUUUCUUUUGUUGAAACAUCAAUUGUAUUUUGGCAAACCGAAGUAACGGAAGUUCCUAUCACAUUAAAUAUUUUUAGUUUUUGUCUGUGGGUAAAUAGUUAAUUGAACAUUUUCGUCCAAACCAGUUGGGUUGUAACUUGUUAUAAUUGUUAAGUAUUAAGGCUAUUUGUAGUAGAUAUAACGAAUGAUGAGCAAAAACUGGACACAGCACACCACUCAUUUUAUUUUAUGAAUGUGAUAGCCAUAGUUAAUACAUGCCAAUAUCACAUAUGACAUCCCUUGACACAAAUACAUAGCAAAGCAUUUUUUAAUUACCUGUAAUUAAACAAAGCACGCAUUAAUUAACACGAUAAUCUAAUGCAUUAUUUAUUUGCUUCAUGGUGUGACUGGCACUCAAAUAGCCACCACAAGUUUUGCAUUACCAUAAAUACCUUAUUUCUACUUAACCAUACAAUUUCUCACUCAAAUUUGCUACGAAGGCAAAGCUGAAUUAUUGAUGUAUCUUCCAAUAUGGCCCGCUUGGUUUGCUGUACUUUUCAUCUAGUGCAUUUAUUUGCUCCACCCAUGCUGCUGGCAUCGAGAAAGACCACAACUUUUGAGAAUUGUUUUGACAUAUUUUGCACACCGCCAUGUCAAGUUUUGCAUGAAAAUCCCAUGGCAGCCGCGGAUCAUUACCCCUUGGGGAUUUGGCUGGUUGGAUAGGAAUGCCCCACCAGGUGUUUCUUGAAAUUGACUGAACAAAGGAUGGGCAGUAGACUCGAUCAUGACCCAAUUCAAGUUCAUUAGUGGAGUACUCACUCAAUGUUUGGUUCAUGGAAAUGAAUUGAUGAGAAAUCAAUUUCUAUGUAGUUUUUCAUAGAAAAGGAAAUCGAACAUUCAUUUUCUAUGUUUGAUAAUGCUGGAAAAAUAACUAGAAAAUAUCAUUUUAUUUCCUUCUCUAUGUGUGGUUAGUGUAUGGAUUGAAAAUGCAUUUUGUUUAGUUUUUCAAUUAUAUCCCUAAAUAAAAAAUCAUAAAUAUAUAUAUAUAUUAAAAAGUGUAAUUAAUAUUUGCCAUGGUAUUUUUAAUUGUUAAUAGUGGUAAAUUGGUCAUAAAAAGUUGUAAUUAAUGCUUGUCUUGGUUUCCCACGAGGAGGGAAAAUUAAAUCCAAUAUAAAUGGAAGGUUUUAUUUUCCUCCCUAUUUUUCCAAGCUUGGACUUACCAAACAUAGGAAAGCAAAUAAUUUCUCAUUCCCAAGCUCCUUUUCCCAGAACCAAAUGCAGUAAAUACGAAGGUUUCUACUUUCUUAAAGUUCAUUAGCUCGAACCUACCAGAAAAACCUAAUUGAGAAAACACUAGCCUCCCUUCUCUCUCAAACCUCUUUUGUUGUGUUCCAGGGAAUAGGGAGCAGGAAGCCACUCAUCCUCCUCUCUCUCCCUGAUGGGGAUCGGGAUCCGGACACAGGUCACCAACCACAUACACGAGCACCGAAAUCUAGGGCUAGUGCAAACUCACAUAUAUCGUAGCAAAUUCAUGCCACAAAUAAACUAUUUUAUUAAUCAUCAACAUAUCUCCCCUACAACUAUUACAUUAGCCUUAUUUAUAGGCUUUACAAGACUUGGGCACCAAGGCUACUUGGUCCAAAAGUAAACUAAUUAAUUAUAAAAUCACACAUACAUAAUAAAAGAUAUCCUAAACUACCUAAAUAAGAAAAUAACAAUAUAUCAUGAAAUAACUAAUUAAAUAUAAAAUAUCUAUCUUGAUCCACCACUAUGCUCCUGCAUCAGACUCCCAUGGUUGGAAAGAAUUCGUCCUCGAAUUCAAGCCUUUGAUUGAGGAAAAUCCGAGUAGAAUCUUCAAUUGUUUCAUAUUAAUUCUGGAUCUUUUAGCAUCCAAUUGAAAUCUUCCUUUCCAAAUAAAAAGAUAUUUGGAAUAUUUCGUUAUUCUUGGCUUCUUCUUACUCCCUCUAAGAAUGCAAAAGUUUCUCUCUAGAAUCUUCAACCGAUUGACAAAAUCAACUAGAUUUUUGGCAACCUUCCAAGUGAAAAUAUUAAUGCCCAUAAAAUCAAUAAUAUCUUCAAAAGUUUUCUCAAUUCUCAUCUCUUCACUGUGCUGGUCAAUAAAUUGCUUAUCAAAAUUGCUUUGAACACCCAAACAAUUUUCAUUGCAAUUUUCACAGUUGCAAGGAUCAAAUAUUGGAGGUAAAUCUAAAUUUAAUAACUUUGAUGAAUAACAAGAUGCACCAAAAUUAUCAAAUUCAUUUAUACCUUCAAAGACACAAUGAGAAUAACCGUGCCCCUCUUCACUUGACUCACACAGCGGAGCGCAAUAAUGAAAAGGGCUAUCUCCCUCGUACUCCCCGUCGAGACUCUCACGGCUUAGAGUGUCGAUGCGAGCUACUCGGUUCAGAUAAGGGUUCACACAUCCCUCCCCGUCAGAACUCUUACCUAUCUGGGUUCGAGCUUCAAUGCGAGCAAUGCGUUCUGUAAGUUGCCGUAGCAUCCUCCUAAUUUCCUCCAUGUCGUUGUAGUUGUUAAAACGACCCUCCAUCCAAAAACCUCCCCGAUAUAGCAAAUCUUGAGCCAUAGCUCUGAUACCAAUUGAUGGGGAUCGGGAUCCGGACACAGGUCACCAACCACAUACACGAGCACCGAAAUCUAGGGCUAGUGCAAACUCACAUAUAUCGUAGCAAAUCCAUGCCACAAAUAAACUAUUUUAUUAAUCAUCAACAUAUCUCCCCUACAACUAUUACAUUAGCCUUAUUUAUAGGCUUUACAAGACUUGGGCACCAAGGCUACUUGGUCCAAAAGUAAACUAAUUAAUUAUAAAAUCACACAUACAUAAUAAAAGAUAUCCUAAACUACCUAAAUAAGAAAAUAACAAUAUAUCAUGAAAUAACUAAUUAAAUGUAAAAUAUCUAUCUUGAUCCACCACUAUGCUCCUGCAUCACUCCCUCUCUCUUUUCCUUAUCUCCCCACUUAUUUUCCCCUUCCGCAUCUACGGGAUUUGUGGUUUUAAUUGUGAGGAGGUUACUUGUGUCUAGAUCUUCUUAGAUUUGUGGUUUUGUUGGUUGGUGUUUUAGAUGUAAGGUGACUGUCUGCAAUCUCAGUGAUGUUCUCUAUCUCCAAGGUGGUUACGGCGUCUGUGGUGGCGGUGGCUGAUAAGUCCAUAAAUUUACACAUUGUUGAGGCCCAAAAAUCCAAGGGGCUAAGCCCAAGUUGACUAUUGGCCCAAUAGGGACAAGUAAACGCAAGAGAAUUUAGGGAACGAAUUAAUACGAGCUACGGGCCACAUGCCACGCCAAACAAGCACGUGCGGGAAGACCAAAAACAUGCUAAAAACAUGCUCAUUCCUAUUGAACUCGGCUAUAGCCUAUGAUGAUAGGAUAAAAAUCCAAGCACAAGCAUAGGUGUCGGAACCGCCAUGCCAACACCAAGAUGUGUUACAAGCUUAGGUGGGCCCAAGCCACCAAAAUUACCCGGGGCUUGCUUGAACGGGUUGUGGUAUGGAUGGCAACGGGCUUUCAUAGGACCCAUUGACGAGCCAAGGAAAUGGUAGUUUCGGGUCACUUGGGAGGCCCAAAACUCAAGCCUAUUUCUUUGGCCCGAAAUACAUGGGUUAGCAUAAGAGAAGAGAGAGCAUGACCCAAUACCUUAGAAAAAAGGUGCAAAGCCUGUUAGAGAAGGCUAGGACAAUUAGAAGGCCUAAAUGUGCUGUUAAAGUGCAAUAGGCAAGCUGCUUCCGGCAGCUUGACGAAAGCCCAGCAGACUGACCCAGAAUGACAUAUCACCAAUUCAAAGCCUAGGAAAGAAAAGCCCAGCCCAAACUCCCUGUAAAAUAUCUGGCCAAGCACGUUUUGUCCCUAUCCAGGAAAGUCAACAGCAAACAUCUCAAAAACCAGAGGAAAUCCACACAAGCAAGAGGUUUACCCGUUGGGUAAAACGUAGCUCCUUUCCCUCCCAUUGUUCUGGCAGCUUGCAUAGGAAAGAUCGAGAGAAAAGCAAGCGGCUCUUCACCUCUAUGAUGAAGGGCCAGCAAAACCGAGACCUUGGAACCACAAAUGGGUUCCUUACCCAUGUGUCUUGGGCGGACGGAAUUCAUCAAAGAAGACGAAGUGGGGGAAAACAAUGGAAAGAGGGAGGGAAGUAUGACGAAAUUAGAACCCUUAGCGGCUAUAAAAAGGAGGACUUCUGCUACCCAGGAAACCAACCCAUUUUUCAGAGCUCGACCAAGCAUUGUCAAGCAGCUGGAAAAUCUACUCAAGCCACCCCAUCUCCUCCUCCAUUCGUUUCCUUCCUCCAUUAGGAAGGAAGUCAGCCAAAUCUUCCUUUGCUUGCUCUAAACCUCCAUCCUCCAUAGGAAAAUUCAUCUCUCUCUCUCAAAAUUGCUAAACCUGUGAAAGCCUAGCUCCCAUGCCACAUGCUCUCCAAGCCAAGCUCUUCUGUAAAAUUGGUCAAGUUUGUUUAGGCUAUUAGUGAAGGAAGCCUGAGAGCGUUUUCGUAACAGUUUCAUCAGACUCUGCGAAAAACACUCUUCCAGGCGCUUGGUGUCGAACCCAGGCAUUUGGGGAAUUUUUGCUCACUUCUCUUCUCACGGCAGCCCAAGCCCAUUCGUCAGGCUGCUGGAACAAAAAAGCCCCAACAUAAAUUGGCGACUCUGCUGGGGACCAAGCUGCCAUUUUUUCGCUAAUGCCUCCAAAAAAGAAGACUAGGAGCAAUACCAUGGCCUCUCAAGACGGAUCUGACCACGGUGAUUCCGAAUCACGACAAAAUACCUCCUCUAGGCAGCAAGAACGUGCAAGUGAGGGAGCUUUUACCCUCACAAACCUUAUUACAGCUAUGCAGGCUAUGGGGGAAACCCAAAGAGAAAUGAUGGACACCAUCAAAGAGCUAAAGAAUGCUGUUCCUAAGCCAAACGAAGAAAAUACCCGACAUCCACAGGAGGAAUCUGCUGCUGCCGGAAAAGAGUCUGAACAAAGGGGACCAUCUUUUGUUACCCAGGAGGAUGUCGUUGCCAUGCUGGAAAGGGAACUCAGUCGAAGCCAAGAAGACUGGAAAUACGUUCCUCAACCACCUUACCCGUCAAGCUUACUCCAGCAGCCUUACCCCAAAGGCUACGAAACACCAAACUUCGUCCUUUUUGAUGGAAGGAAAGGGAGCCCAAAGGAGCAUGUUAGUCGUUUCAUCGAUGCCUUAGGACCACAUGCUGGUGAUUAUAAUCUCCGACUGCGAGAGUUUUCAAAAAGUCUUACUGAUCGGGCCUAUACCUGGUAUACGACAUUGGCGCCAGGCUCAAUUCGUUCUUGGGACGAUCUGGCAGGCAGGUUCUGUAAAAAAUACUUCCAGCACGAGGAAAGAGUCAUCACCACCCAGCUCAACAAUACCCGCCAGAAGCAUGGUGAAGAUCCUGUGGACUUUGUACGAAGGUUUCGAGAUCUGGCCCUAGAUUGCUAUGAUGAAAAGGACGAAGAGGCACUUGUCGAAAUCUGCAUCAGCAACAUUGUAGCAGAUUAUAGAGUGUACUUAGAAAACAUUGGCAUCAGUCAAUUUUCUAGGUUGUUGGAAGCAGUAAGAAAAACAAGCAUGUCUGUCAAACCGACGGGACAAAGGACUUGGAGGAACGAGAAGAGGGAGGCGCACCAAACGUUAGCUGUAAAUGACAAGCCAUCCAACGACUACGGCACACGCAAAAGAAAGGACCGAGAGACGUACCCGCCACUGCCAUGCAAAGAUGAGGAGUUUCAUGCCAUCUUGGACACGAUGAUCGCUGAUGGCGCAAUUAAACCUCUCAGGCCCUACAAAGUCCCCACCCGAGAAGAAAAGAAUGAUCCUAGGUACUGUCGCUACCAUCAAUUCGUGGGACAUCCAACUACUGCCUGUCAGAGUCUAAGAAGGAUUUUACAUGCUAAAAUACAUGAAGGAGUUCUUGAGCUUCCUUCUAGGAAGCAAACAAUUGAUGAGGACCCCUUGCCGAAACGAAGGGGCAAAGAGGUAGCUGCUGUCAUUACAUAUUCCGAGGAUUUACUGGAUGACGAUGAAUUGUGCCACCCAUGGAGGAAUGACCCGAAGCCGCCAGAAGCUAUGUGGGAACCUUGCGGGAACAUGGAGAAGGCGUACUGGUGCAAAUAUUCGAAGCCUUCAAGUUAUAACACGCCAUGGCCGCUCGCUGAUGGAUGGGAUGACGACUCAAGUAAUCAGAUGUUUGUUCAAGACGUGCCGGAAGAUCGCUACUCGGGGGCUUCAUUGGGACAGCAGGAAAUAGCUGCCGUAACAUUUCACAAUGUUACGGAGGCUGAAGCAAGCGUGUUGGGACGUUACCUAAGUCUGAAACAGGGGCCCACAGCUUCACAGGCCCUCCAAAGAAACCCAAAGUUCAAGUCACUCUUUGACCAACUUGGCUUUGGGCCUCAAGCAAGAGAAGCAGCUGCUGUAACUCUCAUGAACAUCUCUGCGGCAUCUGACCCUCAUUGCUUCACUGUUCAACCACAAAGUUCGUUUUUGGGAAAUGACAAUGCUAUCAUCUUCACAGACGAGGAUAUGGAAGUUCCUUACCCAGACCACAGGAGGCCGCUUUAUUUGGAGGGGCAGAUCAACGAUGUGUUUAUAAGGAGAGCCUUGGUAGACACAGGUUCCUCUGUCAAUAUUUUACCCCUAUCUGUGCUUACAGCAGCUGGCAUUCCGCUAUCUAAGAUCGUGCAAUCUCAAACAAGCAUCAGCGGUUUCGGGAACAAAAGUGAGGUCACGGUCGGGUAUAUGCAAGUAAAUCUGAAGGUGGGACCGAUUCGAGCACUUACUAAAUUUUAUGUUGUGGACGUGGAUGUGGCUUACCAUGCUCUGCUUGGAAGACCAUGGCUCAAUAAACAUAAGCUUGUGGUCUCUACUUACCAUCAAUGUGUGAAAGGAAGAAUUGGGCUGAGACCAGUACGCAUACCCGGAAAUCAAGCACCAUUCAAUGAAGAUGAAGCCCACUACUCCGAGGCAGAAUUCUACACCGAAUGCACAGGUGCUGAAAGCAACCCAUCCAAAGAUUUUGGAACCUACCUUCCUUCUUGGACAGAAAUUCGUGAUUUAAGUAAUGAAGAACUCAUCACCGUCAUCAACCGAGGAAGAAAGAGACACUCGGAAGCUAACAAUCAUGCCUAUGAUCAUCCCCGGUGCUCAAAAGUAACGCUCCCCGAUGGGCGCACCGUGUAUCGCUUAUGACGGGAUUGGGGGCUUAACCGUGUCUUAUGGGAAAGCCCCGAGUAUGGAGGAGAAGCAAUGCAAACCAAUGACCGCAAAGAUUCAGAUGACAAGGCACCUUCACCUUGUGCCUUCCAGGAGCCAAUGGUUGCUCCCAAGCACAUGCAAGAUGGCUCAGUGGCAGUAACUGAGCAAUUGGAGACAAUUGACUUAAGUGAUGAUCCCGCCGUCCAAAGACCCAUUUCCAUCGGCAUCCAUUUAACAGAGGAGGAGAAGGAAGUUUUGGUGCCUUUGUUAAAAGAGUUUCGAGAUGUGUUCGCUUGGAGCUACGAAGAAAUGCCCGGCCUUGACCCAAAUUUGGUGAGUCACACGUUGAAUAUUGAGCUGGGUACCAAACCUGUCGUACAGCCCAGAAGGAAUUUUCAUCCUGAAGUUGAAAAGCAAAUCAAGGUGGAAAUCGAAAAACUGUUAGCUGCUGGAUUCAUCAAGCCCAUCAAGCACCCUACGUGGCUAGCAAAUAUCGUUCCCGUGAAAAAGAAGACCGGGGUCAUUAGAAUAUGUACAAACUACCGAGACCUCAAUCGAGCUUGCCCAAAAGAUGAGUUUCCGCUGCCCAACAUGGAUAUAUUGAUCGAUUCAACCUCGGGUCAAGGCAUGCUGUCCUUUAUGGAUGGAUUCAGUGGGUACAAUCAGAUCAAAAUGUCGCCCAAGGAUGCUGAAAAGACAGCCUUUCGAACGUCGUAUGGGAAUUUUUAUUACACGGUCAUGCCAUUUGGUCUCAAAAAUGCGAGUGCCACCUACCAAAGAGCCAUGACGGCAGUGUUUCAUGAUAUGAUGGGAAAAGAGGUGGAGGACUAUGUGGAUGACCUUGUGGUGAAAUCUAAAACCAGACUGGGGCAUCAUGAGGUUUUAAGGAGGGUGCUGGAAAGGUGCCGGCUAUACGGGCUGAAAAUGAAUCCGAAGAAGUGUGCGUUCGGAGUAUCAUCUGGUGAAUUCUUGGGGUUUCAGGUGCACCAACGCGGCAUAGAUGUGGAUCCCGAAAAGACUAGGGCCCUAAAAUCCUUGUCGCCACCAAAAAACCCGAAGGAAUUGAAAAGUUUCAUGGGGAGGCUGUCGUACAUUCGACGCUUUAUUCCAGGGCUUGCUGCUAUGAUGAGCAUCUUCACCCCUUUACUCAAAAAGGGCCAAUCGUUCAUAUGGAGCAAAGAAUGCCAGGAGGCUUACCAGAAAGUGCAGCAACUGAUAGCCAGGCUACCCACAAUGAGGGCACCUAUCCCGGGACUUCCACUCAAGCUCUACUUAGCUGCGACAAAUACCGCGGUUGGAGCUUUGCUUGCCCAGGAUAGUCAUGAAGGGGAAGAAAGCCCCAUUUACUAUGUAAGCAGACAAUUGAAGGGAGCUGAGACAAGGUACCCAAAGACAGAACUAUUAUGCCUUGCUCUUGUUUAUGCUGCGCAGCGAUUGCGACAUUACUUUCUUGCUCACAAGCUGCGGCUUGUAGUAAAAUCCGACCCUGUGAGAUACUUGCUCACAAGACCAGUGCUAUCAGGACGUCUUGCACGCUGGUUGCUGCAAUUGUCUGAGUUCGAUAUUGUGUGUACGCCCCCGAAGUCUAUUAGGGGACAGGCUGUGAUUGAUAUGUUAGCCCUAUUCCCCGAAGUAGAGGAGUCUACUCUGUCCAAAGAAGUAUUAGGAGAACUGUCGGAAGUAGUUGCCACUGUUGUAGAAGAAGCGUCAUGGACCCUCUACUUUGAUGGAUCCUCUACAACCAACGGUGGAGGAGCAGGGAUAGUGAUCAUCAAUCCUGAAGGGCAGGCCACAGCUCUCUCGUUCAAGCUAGAUUUCCCAUGCACAAAUAACGUCGCGGAGUAUGAAGCCUUUAUCAUGGGAUUGUCUACGGCAAGGGAAAUGGGUGCAGAAAGAGUAAAGGUCAUUGGAGAUUCAAAUCUGGUAUUGAGCCAAAUGCAAGGGAGCUUUGCUGUGAAAGAAGCAACUUUAGCACCCUAUCGUACAGCUGCUGAAAGGCUCAUUAAUUCCUUUAAGCAUGUUGUGAUGGAGCACAUCCCGGGAGUUACUAAUAGGUAUGCAGAUGCUUUGGCUACAUUAGGAUCAAAAUUAUCAUACGUACAGGAGCAGCCUAAUAUUACUGUGGUAAGGAGAGAGACGUCAGUAGUAGAGGCAAUGGUCCAGGAGGAGCUGCUGGAAGAAGAUGACUGGAGAAAGCCGUUAAGAAAAGAAUUCAGUGGAGAAAGCAGCAUUAAGGACUUGAAAGACUAUGUGCUCAUCUUUGGGGAACUCUAUAAACGCCUUCCAGGCGGUGUUUUGACUAGGUGCGUGGGAAUGGUAGAAGCGAGGAGAAGGUUGCAAGAGGUACACGAUGCCACCUGCAGUUUGGAACCAGUGACCAGUUUGUAUCGGCGCCUGCAGCGUAAGGGUUAUUAUUGGCCAGAAAUGAGGAAACAAGCAGCCGAUGUUCAGGCUAAUUGUCCCAAAUGUUCUACGGUACCCACUACCGAGGAGGCUUUCACUGUGUCACUGGUGGAAGAUUGGAGGGCCCCAUAUCUAGCAUUUUUCGUUGAAGGAGCUCUGCCAACCAAUUCCAAGCUCGCUUAUAAGCUCAAGAAGACGGUAAAAAGAUAUUUCAUGGAUGGAGCGACUCUUUACAGGAAGGGAUUUAAUGGUGAACCACUAUGAUGCUUGGAAAGGUCAGAGGCUUAUCAAGUCAUGCAAGAGAUACAUGCUGGAGAAUGUGGAGAACAUCAAGGGAUGAAGAGGCUUUAUCGGCAGCUGCUGAGUUUCGGAUACUAUUGGCCUACUAUGAAGAAAGAUGCACGUGACUUUGUUAAGAAAUGCCACACAUGCCAAGCCAAAGCCAUUUGUAUGGGAUCCUAAGUCACUAGCAGACCUCAUGCUUCAUCAACAAAAAAAUAUACGCCAAGCUAAUUAGCAUAAAUAAGCAUUGAAGCUUCGAGCAUGGAUCCUGCCAAAAUUAUGGCGGUAUCUACCUUAUAUUAAGACCCAACAUGCGGGAAAUCUCAAGCGAAAAGUUUCAACCAAGCACUGCAUAUAAUACCAAAUAGAAAAGUUACAAUGUGUUUGACAAAAAAAGGGAGGACAUGGUUUCCAGCAGUCAGCACAUAACAACACUGCAGUGCCAAGCUGUCACAAUGCAAAUUUUACAAGCCUAAAUUCGAGCAAGUUAUACAAGCUGUCACAAUGGUCGUUUUGAGGGGUUUAGCUUGGAGAGUGGUGUGCACUCUCUAUGUUAAGGGAGAAAAAUAUUUUUAUAAAAUUAGAUUUUCUAACUUCAUUUAUGUUAUUUACUUUUCAAAUCUAGGAACGGGAGAGAACCAGACAACCUUCUAAGGGUAAUUUCAUCAUUUUAGCUUCUUGGAUACGAGGUAGGGUUUCCUGAUUUCCCGAUGAUUGUGCUAUGUCACUCUUAAUCUUGGUGCUUAUAUAUAGUACUAUAAAUAUGAAUAUUAUUGUUGCUUUGCUCGGCGAAUAUUUUUUGAUGUUAUGUGAAUAUUAUUAUUGAUGUUUCUUUGUGGAUUUUCUUUGAUGUUGGGUGAAUAUUGUUAUUCAUGUGAUGAAACUUGAAAUAUUAUUAUUAUUAUUAUAUGUAUUAUUAUUCAGUAUAGAUAAAUGAUGUUGCUCUCCAUUACAUAUGCAUCAUAAAUACAGUGGUGUUAAGGGUGUGUGUGUCGUUUGACGUAUAUCUAAGGGGUGGGAGAAGACCUUAGAUAUAUAUGAGUAAAAAUGCAGAAUACAUUGAAGUAACGGAAGUAGGGCUUGAAUAUAUUGAGGUGAUGGGAGCAGGGCCUAUAAUGAAAAGUGAAAGUUGAGAAAUUCGUAAACAAAAGAAAACUGGGUUAAUGGACGGAUAGGCCCUAGUUUAUAUUUUAGGGUAUUCGGAGCCACAAUGGUAAAACGCAUGGUAUGAGACAUGCAAGUUUAUUGCCCUAAGGUAUGAAUUAGUGGGAUUAUAAGGGAGUGAGUUCAUGGCAUCACCGCAUAUGCAAAUUUAUUUAUAUGGUAUGGUUGCAUAAUUUCUGUAUCUUGUGUUGUUUGAUGCAUGACACUUUGAUUAACUGUGAUAAUUGACUUUGAGGGGUUUGGUGGUACUCUACUGGGUAUUAGAAUGCUCAUACGCUAAUAGAUUGUGCAAGAUUCAAGGUGAAGUUUGACAGAGCAGGUUUCAACCAAGCUACUAGGCUUUUGUUGUUGAUUUGUGUAAUUAACAUUUGUAAGUAGUCAACGGUUUGAUAAAGAUCUUAGUGUGUAAUUAACUAUGAGCUACUGAGACUCUGAUUCUGUGUUGUUAAGUAAAUUUGUAUUUAUUUGUGGCUCUUUUUCUCAUCAUAUCAUGGUUAUAAGAUUUUAUUCUUAUGACUAUCGUAUGACUCACACCCUAAUUCAAGAAUAUUCCUUAUUUUCAAAUCAGGUCGUGACACUCAGACUCUCACUUGUAUUUAAGGGGAGCCCAAAUUAUGUUCAUUAACAUUCUGCCUUGUACACACAUCGAUCACUACUUAUACUUAAUUCUGCGUAUCAUCACAACAACAACUGAUAGCAUGGCGCCUCUGAAAGGUAAGGUUGAGACUGAAAUAGAAAUUAAGGCACCAGCUGAGAAGUUCUACAACAUCUUCAACAGCCGGGCACACCACGUCCCGAACAUUUCUCCUGGCAGCAUUCAAGGAGUUUAGGUGCAUGAAGGAGACUGGAAAACACAUGGCUCUAUUAAGAGUAGGAAUUACUCAAUAGGUAAGGUCAUCUAUAUACCUGUUACAUGUGGCCGGUGUACAUCUUUAAUUCCCUACCUAACAAAAUACAAUUAUGUCUUGUGAAAUAGGGGACGAAGUCGGGGUAUUCAAGGAAAAGGUGGAGUACAACGAUGAGAACAAGUCCAUAACUCUGAAUGGGGUGGAAGGAGAUGUCUUCAAGUAUUUCAAAAGCUUUAAGCCUGUCUAUCAAUUCACUCAAAAGGAUGAAGGCAGCAUUGCGACCUUGUCGAUUGCAUAUGAGAAAAUAUGCCAUUAUUUUCAAAUAAUAUAAUUAAAGAACAUCAAAAUUACAAAAUAUGCCAUUAUUUUCAAAUUUCAAUAUUUAACUUUAAACCAAAACUUACAGCUGUAUAUGGAUAAGUAUAACGACAUCACAACACCAAAAACUUAACCUGAAACAACAUUUACUCAAAUUGAAAGCUAAGCCAUUCGCCUUCACCUCGAGAAACCGCCUUUCCACAAUUUCCUUCACACUAUUCCCAAAAAUCUCAGAGACGAUCGUUCCAAUCUAAACCAUUAGCAUCAACGAUGACCACCAAUGGUGACAACCACCAACGAUCGAAGCCAAUUCUCACUCUCUUGAAAAAAAAAUAACCAUAAGAAAAUCAACACUCUAACACAAAUUUGCCUUUGUUUUUUAGGGAUUAAGGAUUUUAGAGAUUCUAGAUAUUGUUCAUUAUGCAUGCUCCCUUUGGAAAAAUGGAUGACUUUUUGGAUUCACAACUACUCUUGGUUUAGGUUUUGCCUUCGUUUAUAGGGAUUAAUGAUUCUAGAGAUUUUACCUACUGUUCAUUCUUCACUCUGCAAUGUAGUUUAGGUUUUGGGUUUAGUUUUGGUUUCAAAAGCUCUAAAAACCAAAAAAUCAUUAGAGAAAGAGAAAGAGCAUCAAAUAUAUCUAUUUUCUGCAUUGCAGAAAACGGAAACUGCACUUAGUUUGUAGUUCUUAUUUUGACUUUACUGAUCUUUCCAUUUCAUGUCAAGUUGAUGUAUAUUUUCUGUUCUAUUAUGUGUUUUGGAUUGCUCCUAUUAUAUUUCUAUUAUGUUUGAUGUUUUGCGUUUUGGAUUGCUCCUUUUAAAAUAGGAAGAGCUUCAAAUAUUUUUAUUUUCUGCAUUGCAAAAAAUGGAAUCUGCAUUGUAGUUUCCGUUAAUGCAAUGCAAUGAACCAGAAACUGCAUUGCAGUUUCUGUUUUCUAUUUUCUGCUUACCUAUUUAUACUUCUUCCUUGUAGUUUAUCUCUACUUGUCCUAAUUGUGUUUUCAUCCCUUCUUGUUUCAGAUCACAAAUGGCACAAGAAAUGUCACCACAAAAGAAUGAAGCUCAAAACCAACGAAAGCCAAGAAUCAAAACAAUGGCUCAAAAGAGAAAAACAAAGCCAAACUAUGAUAGGAAAGCAAAGCACUCAGACUAUGUCUAGUUUCGGUGCAACGUCAAUGCUUUCAAUAGAAUCAUUACAUAUGUUAUAGACAAACUCAAUGACAGGUAGAAGAAACUGCUCAAGACAACGCCUUUCUGGAACUUGAUUGAGCUAUUUUAAAACCAAAGAAUUGACAUGAAGAACAUGAAUAAGUCGGACCUCAACUUAGUAGCGCUGCUCAUGAAGUUUGAUCCAGAUACAAAGUCCUUCAAAUUUGGCACCAAAUCGUUCAAGAUCACAGCCAAUGCAGUGAUUGAGAUUCUAGGACUGCUAAAUGAAGGAAAAUCUGUCAAACUUGGCACUAAUAGAUACAAUGAUACCUUCAGAACAAGGCAAUUCGGAGAAAAGUCAAAACCAUCAAAUGGCAUGGUAGAAGAAGAAUUAAAAAAGACAAUUACCUUGGCAAACCAACCAAAAAAAGAAAAGGCCAAGGCAAAGCAAAAGAAGAAACGAAUAGAGGAAAAGCAAAGAAAAAAAUUGAAGAAGAAGGGGAAGACGAAGAGGACAAUGAGGUUGUUGACUACGACAAGGAUGUGGUCAGCCUAAUCUUAAUUCUACUCUGCAUGACAUUCUUCUUUGCCAACUCUUCAUUCACUUUACACUGGAAAAUUGUUGAGCACUGUAUGAAUCUAGACACGCUUUCAAAAUAGGAUCCGCUCCGGAAUUCCUCGGUAACAAGACAGAUUCGCAUAUUGUGCGUUAUCCGGGUUUGAUAGGUUUGAAUCGUUGGAUCGUCUCCAAAUUUUUAUAUGUUGAUCUAGGCACUCCUAGAAUCGUGUAGAAAUUCACGGAUCAUGAAUCGGAGCCCCGGAUGUUCCGAUUCAAUAAUUCGAAGUUUGUGGUUUGCGAUAACCGUCCAUUGCAGAUCAAACUCACAAGACGUAUUUCCUAAACCCGUAGUCGGACCAUAGAAUACCUCGAGACUCUCUCAGGGUCAGGUAGCAUGGGACUACUUGUGAGUGGACAUUUAUUUUAAAUAUGCCUUAUUUUCAAUGAUUGAAAGGUUAUGCAUGGAAUGGAUUUAUUUAUAUACAUUUAGAUAUUUUGGAUUAAAGUUUGAGAAAGUAAUAAGUUGAGAUAUUAGUAAUAUUAAAUUGAGAAUGUGAUUUUUAAUUGGAAAAUUUGAAGUUGAAAUUUGGGGGAUCUGGGAAUUUAGUAGGAUGGGUUAUUGAGGGAAGAUUUAUGAUGACACUAUGUAAGUACCAUCCCCUAGUUACUAGGCUUCCCACACAUGGCGUUGGAAUUACCGACAUGUGGGAAGAACAUGUGUUGAUUAAGUCUCACACGUGGCGUUGGAAUUUCUGGCUUAUGGGAAGAUUAUGUGAAUUAUGAGGAAUCAUCACACGUGGCGUUGGAAUUUUCGGUGUGUGAUGAUGUAGUCUACGCUCGUAGGACUUAGUAUUGGUGCUACACGUGGCGUUGGAAUUUUCGGCGUGUAACCUAUAGAGUUUCGCCCCUAGUUGGACCGCUCAUCUCUAGAUGCAGGAUAGCAACAUGAAAUCCUGCGGGCUAGCCAAACAAUCCCCCGGUUGGAUUGUUUCCCCGGUGCCUAAGUAGUGUGAUAUUAUAAUAUCCCACAUCGACCAAAGGAGAGGGGGUGAUGUGCCUUAUAUGUACAGGCCCAUCUUCAUCUAGCAAGAGACCUUUUGGGAGCUCAUUGGCUUCGGAGUCAUGAGAACUUCGAAGUUAAGCAAGUUGGGGCUAGAGUAAUCCCAAGAUGGGUGACCUAUUGGGAAGUUGCUAGUGAGUUCCCAGAAACAAAACCGUGAGGGCAGAGAGGGGGCCCAAAGCGAACAAUAUCAUGUUACGGCGGAGCUGAUCCCCGGAUGUGACAAUUUGGUAUCAGAGCCACUUUGCCAUGUGGUGCGAGUGUGCCGACGAGGACGUCGGACCCCUAAGGGGGGUGGAUUGUAACAUCCCACAUCGACCAACAGAGAAGGGGUGAUGUUCCUUAUAUGUACAUAUCCACCUCCAUCUAGCACAAGGUGUUUUGGGAGCUCACUGGCUUCGGAGUCAUGGGAACUUCGAAGUUAAGCAAGUUGGGGCUAGAGCAAUCCCAAUAUGGGUGACCCGCUGGGAAGUUGCUCGUGAGUUUCCAGAAACAAAACCUUGAGGGCAGAGAUGGGGGCCUAAAGCGGACAAUAUCAUGCUAUGGCGGAGCCGAUCCUGGGAUGUGACAUCGUGGGCAAGAGUUGUUUCAACCUACAUAAAUGACUCCUUGAUCACAAAGGCUAAAGCAAGAAAGGAAGGAGAAGCCUCUAUAUGAGUUGUUUCAGGUUGCACUAUCCUAAUAUUAGUAAGUAAACAGUGGCUUAUGCAAUGCAUUUUGAGUUUUAUGCAAUGCAGUUUCUGUUUUAUCUAAUGCAGUUUCCAACCUAAUUUAUGAUAUAUCUUGUUUUUGAACUGUGUUGUUUGUACUAUGUGAGAAGACAAAUAUCAUACAACCAAUCUUUGGCAAGGACAAAGAAAUUCAUGCAAUUCUUAAAUGGAGUCUUGUGGAACUCCACACAAGAUUCAGCCAAAUAAAGGACUUAAAUGACAUAGAGGUAUGCAAGUUAUCACAUGUUCUAUUUUAAUAUAUCUUGAAUGUGAAUCCAUGCUAAAUCAUUCUCAUUGUAUAGGGUAUUUUCAAAACCUCUAAAAAGUCAAAAAGUACCAGAGAGGAGGGAGACCCUGUUGACAAGGUAAUUAGAAUCUGUACACAGUGGCUUAUGCAUUGCAGUUUCUGCUUUCUACAUUGCAGAAACAGAAACUGUACUGCAGUGUCCAUUUCCUGCAAUGCAGUUUCUAAAUCAUUCUCAUUGUACAAGGUAUUUUGAAAACAUAUAAAAAGCUAAAAACUACCAGAGAAGAGGGAGACCCUGUUGACAAGGUAAUUAGAAUCUCCAAACAGUGGCUUAUGGAUUGCAGUUUCUAUUUUAUUUAAUGUAGUUUCUAAUUAGUUUCCGUUCAAUUUGUAGGAAAAAGAAAACGAAGAUGAUGAAGGGGAAUAAGGAGAAGCAGGGGAAAUAGCAGAACAAGGACAACCUGAUGAUGAUAUCAGACUCCAGAAUUAAAAGAGAUUAGAAAGAAGAAAAGGUUUGAGAUUGAAGCUGGAAAAGAACCUGUUGGGAUUCAAGAACUCUUGGUGAAGUCCAUGAUAGCCCAAAUCAACUACCGCCAACGCCAAAAUCCUAGCUUUGUUUGCCUAAAAAGAUUAAAACUGUGGAAGGAUGAAAUUAAUAAAGACAGUGAGAAGAAAAUGAUGGAAUUGUGGGAUAUAUUUAUCCAAGUAGAAAAGAGAUCAAACGAGUUGGAAGAGGAGUUAGCAACACACAAAGAGAAAUUACAUGAUGAAGAAUAUGUGACUGCAACUAUGACAGUGGAAUCUACAAUUCAGCUUCACACAAUACAAAAUCUGAAAAUGAGGAUUGCACAAUUGGAAGGCAAGGAAUCUUAUAUUGACCCAGAGCCGAGUGCCAAGAAAAUGAAUAUUCCAUAAAAGUAUUAAGGUAGAAAUUGAAAGUAUGUUCUAGGACCCAAUAAUCUUCGAAAUAGAGCGGGAUUUUCCUACAACACAUCCAGUUGAAGAGAAAGAAGAAGAGAAAGAAGAAAAGAAAGAAGACAAAGAAGAAGAGAAAGAAGAAGAAAAAAAAAAGACAAAGAAGAAGAGAACGAAGAAGACAAGAAGAAACAAGAAGAAGAGAAGAAGCAACAAGAAGAGAAAGAAGAAGAGAAGAAGCAAUAAGAAGGGAAGAAGAGAAGAAGCAACAAGAAGAGAAAGAAGAAGAGAAGAAGCAAUAAGAAGGGAAAGAAGAAGAGAAGAAGCAAGAUGCUCCAACACCAAGAAUACAAAGGCUGAAGAACAGAGAAAGAAAGUGACAAGACCAGGCCCGAAUUCCUCAGAAUCCCUGACGAUCCCUGUGGUUUUUCUGACAUCAAACUGAUGCCCGACCUACUUACUAACAACAUCCUCUUCUCUGAAAACAAAGGAAAAGAGGCUCGAGACUUUUUACUGAAAUUUCGGCAGUGUCUCCACUGAAAAAUGGACUUUUCUCAAAUUUUCAACAUGUCAAAACAUAGUAACAACACACCCAACUAGGAGCACGCACAAUACAAAAGCAUGAAGUUUAUAGAAUAGGCCACCGGCCUUACAUCCAAUCCUACAUGGGCAUUAACAGAGCAAUUCUAAGGAAUUUCAGUUUGCAACCGGAAACAAACGUUCAAUGGAAAUAAAAACACAUAAAAACUGCCCUACAGAAGUUCAGGGCGCGGAAAUGCGAAUCUUGGCUCCGUUGCUCGGCUUAGAUGAAGCUACUGUCUGGGGGUAUAAAACAGAAAAUUGUGAGUGGACAAAAACAAGUUUUCAACAUAGUUAUAAACAACGUACGAACCCCACCAUUUUAGGAAAACGAUGACAAAACUUGCAUUCAAAACCAAUAUACAUAAUCAAUUUAAAACCAAGGUAAAACCCAAAACUCGAUAUGGCAUAUAAAACAAACUCGAACUGGACCUUUUUUCCCUUCCCACCACUCUUUUCCAAAACACAUGCCCUUAGGCACAGCGAGCGAGGAAGUAUCCUCACUAAUAAAUAAGAAUAAAUGUGUAUAAGUAUAUAUAGGUAUGACCACUACCAAACUUGUACCGGGGAAACAACCCACCGGAGGAUUGUUUGACUAGACGACAUGGAAGAAUCCUCAAUUGACCAUGUGGCUAGGGCACGAGCCGUCAAAUCGGGGUACUGGGCUCACCAGCACGCACAACAGAAUUCUCAAUACUCGUGCGCUUGUGACAAGUCCUACCCGGGCAGACUACCUCGCUAAGGGUCUACGAAACACCCCGUCAAGGGUGCCAGAGUUCCGACAUAUCCAAGUAUCCAAGUGCUGGGGAGGUACAUAGGGUAGUUCUAAAAGCACUCCAAACUAACAUAAACCACAACCCAAAUCCCAUUCCAUAGCCACUUUCCAACAAUACCAAGUACCCAACAUAUAUACCCAGACAACCGAACAUCACUUGCAUCCAAAACACAAAUCCCAAAUUAUACAUAUUUAAAGUAUAGAGAAUAGCUCUCAAGAUAACAAUAAGUCGACCCAAAAUAAACACAACCUUCAAGUAUCCAAAAACAUACCAAUGAUUUCAUAAAUACCAUAACGUAAUAUUAAAACAAUAUUAAAGUUUCAACGUAAAAAAUAUCCCAAUAUAUAUAUAUGCAUAACAUUCCACCUUUGAAAAUAAUAUUUAUUUACAAACAAAGUCCACUCACAGAAGAUCAGAAGCUACUUGACCCUGAGAGGGCCUUGCUUGCUGAGCAUGCUGAGCCUGAAUACCUAUUGAAGAACAUGAGGACUAGAUUAAAUAAAACACUUUAAAAAAAACUCAUAGUUUUACCACCAAUACUCUUAUAAUCAUACUAUAUUUCCACUUUGGAACAUAUAAUAACUCAUAAUCAAAGGACUCAAUAUGCAUAUUUUUCUAUCCUUGAAAAUAAUGAAUAUUAUUUGAAAUCAAAGUCCACUCACUACCUAAUAAUCAUAGCCGAGCCCAAGGCUCACUUUCAUAACUCACCCAACUCAAUUAACCCAUACUCAUUUAUUCCAUAAUUUCAAUUAUUAAAAUAAUAUCGAAGAAUUUUCAUACGAUAAUAAAAACAAUCUUAAAAUCCCAACAUAGUCAACAUAACUCAAAUAACGGUCGAGACUCGUUAAUAAGGUCGUUCUAGUACUCCUCAAAGGGUGAAACUACCUUGGAAGACUCACGGUCAACCGAGGGGUCAAACUACCUAAACUUGGUCGACCGGGCCCACGGGUCCCAUGACCCCGUUUUACAAUCCAGACAUUCCAAUGAGUUCCACAAGGAUUACAAUACUUUUCUUGCAAGUUUUGUCCGAAUCGGACAGUCGGAUCGCUCACAAUCAUACGAUCGGACGGUUAUCGUAAAACGCAAAUUUUAAGUUAUUGAAUCUGAACAUCCGGGGCUCCGAUUCACGAUCUACGAAAUCCUACACGAUCCUAGGAAUGCCUAGAUCAACAUAUACUAAAUUGGAGUCGAUCCAAUGGUCCGAACAUGUCGCAUCAGGAUAACUCCUAACGUGCGAUGUUCGACCGUCGAUCAAAUGAUAACCAAAUUCAAAUCCGAGCAUACCGUUGUGCUCGGGAUGACAUGGGGAUUAUGUUAGGACCAGGAGGGACUUCAAAAUAGUACCCACUCACUGCCACACGAGCCAGCAGCGCUUGGGUGUCCAAAGCGAUUCCGGCGAUCGAAAAAACUCCAAAUGCCGGUCAAGACUUAUACCUACAUGAUCAAGACAUUGAGUGUAGCAACUCUUGUUCUUGGACCUACCCUAAAAAGUGGGCGGAAGUGGCCGGAAUUGAGGGCCGAAAAUUGGCCAAACUAUUAUUGCUAAAUUGACACUGAAAACGUAGAAAUUGAUCCUAAAUAACAUGACCAGCAGCUAGAGCACAUUGAGAGGAUGGAAAAGCAUAGUUGGAUUGCAAGAUUUGGUUGCCUGAAAUGUUCGAAACGAUCGAGGGAAUUUUCUCACAAAAAUGGCCGGUUUUCUUGAUUUUUCGCGCCAAAUUCGGCGGCUCCAGCGGUGGCAACGGGGUGGGAUAGUACGGGGGAGGCUGGCCGGUUGUUUUGGGACCGGUUGCAGCUCUGGUGACGCUCUGUGGCGGUAGUGGCGAAGGUGAAACCGUCGCUGCAAACAGUCUGUGGAAGGGGGCCCGGAGAGAGAGAGAGAGAGAGAGAGAGAGAGAGAGAGAGAGAGAGAGAGAGAGAAAUGGGAGGGUUUUUUUUUAUUUUAUUAAAACCAACUUCAAAAAUAUUACGGUUAUGCCACUGAGUGUAUUUUGAUCGUAUUUUUUUUGUUAAACCUAUGAUUCGAGCCCGCUACGUGUCUACAGACUCAUCUCGGUACGAUCUAAGUAAAAAUAUCAGUCACUACCCCAAAAUCCCUCCGAAUUAAAAAAAAAAUCCAAUUUACCCUGACCCCAAGGGCAAAAUUAUAAAUUCAUAAUUAAAUUAAUUUCCAAUUUUAACUGGAUAAAUAUACUAAGGUCGGGGUGUUACAAAAUCACCCAACAAUACCUAUGUCAAACCAUUCAGACUAACAAAGGGAGCAUUUUUUGGUUCUUGGACCACGACCAAAAAGUGGUCGGAGCUAGCCAGAUCAAAGACAGAACCUUAUGGUUCUAACUGGAACUUCCCAACCUUGUAACAGCGACGCAACCACCAAUGGUGUCGCACAACAUAGGGAAAAGCAAGAGAGAAGAGAGAGCUACUUGAUCCAAGUGGUGGCGUGACCAGAGGUGGUCGGAAUAGUUUUCGGCAUCGACGGGAGUUUUGGCCGAAUUUUAGACUGGAGAAAUUAGGUGGGUCAGGUAGAGGAGGAGGAGAGGAGAAUUUUGGAAGUUGUUUCAUCAGAAACGGCGGCGAUGGAGGAGAGAGAUCGGGGGAGGAGAGAGAAGACGCGUGGGGUAACUCCUUCGUUAAAACUUCGAUUUGGGACACUACGUGUCUACGAACUCAUAUCGACGAGCUCUAAGCAAUGAUGCCACUCAAAUCCCAAAAAUCUUUACGGAUCGAAAAGUGACCAAUGUGACCUUGGCCCAAGGACAAAAUUAUAAUUUCACAAUUAUAUAAAUUUAAUAAAAUUGAAUAAAAUGAUUAAAUUGGGCCAGAGGCGUUACAACCUACCCCCUUACAAAAAUUUCUUCCUCGAAAUUUCAUACCUGUCAUUCGAGGAGGUAAGGGUACUUGGCCUGCAUAUGUGCCUCGGGUUCCCAACUGCCUUCCUCCAUGGUUUGACUCCUCCAAAACACCUUCACUAUGGUUCUAGAAUGAAACACUUUUUCCUUUCUAUCCAGAAUCUACACAGGUUGCUCAUCAUACUCUCAACUCCUUAAACCUAAAAAGUGACCAAUGUAACCCUACCCCUAGGGCAAAAUUGUAAUUUCAUAAUUAAAUAAAUUGAAUCAAAUUGAAUAAAAUGAUUAAAUUGGGUCGGAGGCAUUAUAGAAAGAGGCAUCAAGCAUCUUGCUGUGAGUACGAAAAAGAUAAGCAACCAAAAAAGGAGGCAAAAAAGGAUGAUGAAGAAUUACCACAAUUCAAGCUUAUCUCUUCUGAAGAGCCAUCAACACAAGAGGAUUCUCAAAAUCAUAUGGAGGUAUGCAAUUACUACCGUUCAAGCAUUUUUUUUUUUUAUGCAUUGCAGAAAAUAGAAAUUGCAAUGCAAUUUCUGUUGUAGUUUUCGUUUCUACAAUGCAGUUUCUAUUUUCUGCAUUGUAGUUUCCGUUUUAUCCAAUGAAUUUUCUAAUUAGUUUUCUUUCAAUCUGCAAUCAACACAAGAUGCAUCUUAGCCUGAUGCCAGAGAUCCACUUCCUCAUUCCCCACAAGGAACAAGCCUUCACGAUUCAAUAAUUCUUGGUUUGAAAAAAUUAGAUGAUGAAGAUGAACGGCCAAAAUAGACACAAAAAAAGCCAAUUAAGAAGGCACUAGGAUGAGGGAAAAUGAAGGAUUGGCAGAAAAUUCCAAAAGAGGACAGGGACAAAAUUCAAGAAUACUACUUAAGUACUCAACCUAGGUAGUAUCCUAUUCCAAAAGAACAAUAAUUUCAUCUUUUAAUUACAAUUAAACUGAAACUAAUCUUGUGAAUUUCAUGUAUUCAAAUCCACAGUGAUAACUUUUGGGCAGGACUUCGUGAUGAGAAAGUGACAAACCGUAAUAUCAAAGAUAUUGUAUGAGACCUGGAACUGUCACAAAAUGUAAGUCUAAACUACUAAAACACACAUUGCACUGCAGUUCUUAUUUGUGCCUCAUAUAUUAACCAUUAACAAUUCCAUUUUUCUCCAAUCAAUGUGAAACAGGUUAUUGAAGUCUACAUACAAAUCGAGGAAGAUAAAAUAACUCCAUAGUACAUGUCUACAUGGACUUGGGUAAGAAUUAUUUUCAAAUUUUAAAAUUGAUUAAACAGACACUACACUGCAGUUUUCGAAAAAAAAUAUACUAACCAAUUUCCAUUCAAUGCAUGCAGUCAUACAUGCAAAACUACAUAGAGCCAGCUUGGCAUAGGGUCAUGUAUGAACCCUUUUUGGAAAAACUCGGGGAAUGCAAUCUGCUUUUCUUCCCAAUCAUUUUAAGCUCCGAGUUUCACUAUACCCUCCUUGCAUUUCACAAACUAGAACAAAAGUGGAGAUACUACAAUCCACUCAGGUCAUUGGAAGCAACAAAACAAGAAAGAUGCAUUGACAUUUCUCAUCAAAUUGUAAGUGGAAUGUACCUGUCUUAAUUUCUCAGCACAAACACAAACUGUAUUGCAGUUUCUGUAUUAUACCCGCUGCCUAAUUUCAGACGAAAAUUAUAAUAUGCAAUGCAUUGAUUACCCUUUUUUUUUUCUUUUCUUCUUCUUUCAAUAGGUUAAUGUUGUUGGAGGGUAGCUAGAAUACAUGAGACCUAAAGCACAAGUGUUCUUAGAAAGUAGAAAAAUACCAAAACUUGUGAAGCAAAGGGAAGAGCCCCUACACCUGUAACGCAAGAGAUGUCCUCAAAUGAAGAACUCACUCUCAAUUGGAUUUUGCAGUGUCUAUGUCAGUUUCCAUUUGAGGAUGACACAGAAUGUGCUCAACAAAGUUCAUCUUCAUAAGAAUUGUUUUUACUCAACUAUUCAUUACAAUUUGAAAUCAUUCAAAACCAAAAACUAAUCUCAUAUUCAUUUGCAGGUUGGAUUGUGGCAUGUUCGUCAUGUUCUACAUGGAUAAAUAGCACAAGGACAACCCAUUCCAAAAAGUGUAGACAAGAAUUUCAUGAAUGAAUAUCGAGCAAAAUACAUCACGAAACUCCUGCACCACAAAAACUGUCCCAUUAAUCGUCUCUAGUGAUUUGUCUUUUGUUAACUCAAGACAAUAUGUAUCUUAAUUCUUCUGGAUGUUUGUAAAUAUUUCUAGUUAUGGGAUAUGAGAAAGGAUUUGUUAUACAUCUAAACUGUCAUAUAAUCUUAGAACAUUUUGCAACAAAAUGAAAAGGAAACAAGAAUCUGCAACAAACGGAAACUGCAAUGCAGUGUAUGAAAAAAAAAACUGGUCAAAUGUGAAAAGAAACCAAAAGCCAAAGCCAUGAUCAAAGCACUAAAACUUUGUUCAAAACACAUUUAAGUAGGUCAGCAGUUGUAACAUUUCAAUAGACUUGCAAAAAUUAUUCUGAAAUCGAAUUAUGAAACAAAAAAACUGCACUACAGUUUCUAGUAAAAAACUGCAACAAACGGAAACUGCAAUGCAGUUUAUGAAAAAACAUAAGCUCAAAUGUGAAAAGAAAAGAAAAGGCAAAGCCAUGAUCAAAGUACUAAAACUAAUAUCAAAACACAUUUAACUCUAUAAGCAGUUGUAACAUUCCCAUAUACUAAAAAAAAUUAUUCUGAAAUCAAAUUAUGAAACAAAAAAACUGCAUUGCAGUUCCUGAAAAAAAAAUUGCAACAAACGGAAACUGCAGUGCAGUUUAUGAAACAAAAUCUGCUUAAAUGUGAAAACAAGCAUUGAAUGGCAGUUAAAAAUGAAUAUCCACUGAUGAAACAAUUGUAUAAUUUUCAUUAACUUAAAAAUAAAACAAAAAUUCGUAAUAUCCAAUUAGAAGCUGUGUAGCCAAUUACAAGCAACUAAAAACUGCAAUGCAGAAAUUGACUAUACAUUCACUAAAUCAUAUCUAACAUUAGCAAUCGUCAACUAGGAAGGAAUGUUCAUAUCACCGCCUUGCAAGUCUUCUUGUUGUGCCCAGCAACACUACACUGACUACAUUUCAAUGGCCUUGUACCUUCAGCAAAAGCUUUGAUCCUCUUCGUUGGUGAUCUUUCGGCUGGCCUUUUUGUAAUUAGCGGAAGCACAACUCUAGCAGUUGAACUGUUGCUGCCCAAGCGUUUCCUAAUCUCUUGAAUAGGAAAAAUAGGACUAUCAAAGGCUUUUCGAAAGAAGUCGGACCUGUAGUAACAUGCAAAGUAAUCAUAAACAGAAUCUUUCUUUGCUAGAAUUGCAGCCACGACAUGCAUACAAUGAAAACCAUCAAUUUGCAAAAGACGGCAAGAACAUGUCAUUUGCCCAAGAUCAACCAUCACAGAAAAUUAGCAAAUACUUCAAAAAUAGUGAAACUAGAAUGGCAUACGGCCCAAGUCCUGCUAGCCUAAGUGUUUUCCCACAGUCUAGUUUCCAUCUCUGAACACAAAAUUGUUGUCCACUUCUCAGCUUCAAUUUGUCGUUGAGAAUUCAAUACCAUCAAUUUCUAUCGAGUCCCUUCCAUCAAAGGUAACACCGGCAAAUCUCGAAAUACACCAACCCAGUUAUUAAACGACUCGGCUAAACUGUUUGCCAUCUCCCCAUAACGCAUUCAUUUAAAAAAUGCGUUGGCAUAGUGAUCUCUGGACAAAUCAAAUAUAAAUAUCUUCUCUUUCGCACUCCCAACAAUCACCAACUCAUCCAUUGCUAUUUUAAACGCUUCCGCUGUAACAACAUAUGCACAUCUACUAAAUAGAUUAAUAACACAGUUUUGGAGUAGUUUCUCAUAACCUGACUUCGGGUAUUGCGAUAUCAAAUUUUGUUUGAGGUGAUAGUAACAGUAGGAAAUAGCCAUCCAGGAAACACAACCCCCAUUGCAUUUAACAAACUUUGAUUACGGUCCAAGAAAAAAGUCACCAUUCUCCCCAUUGGUAGCAAUAUAGCAACCAAAUGUUGAAGAAACCAAGUCCAAUUCUGCUCUGCCUCAGAAUCAAUAACUCUAAAAGCUAAAGGAUAAAACCCUGCAAAACAAAACCAAAAGCACAAGUAUAAGCAACAAACGGAAAUUGCAGUGCAGUUUAUGAAAACAAAUCUGCUCAAAUUUGAAAGGAAACCAAAAGGCAAAUCCAUGAUCAAAGUACUAAAACUAAGUUCAAAACACAUAUAAGUCCAUGAGAAGGUGUAACGUUCCCACAGACUUGCAAAUAUUAUUCUAAAAUUGAAUUAUGAAACAAGAAACUGCAGUGCAGUUUCCCUAGUAAAAACUACAACAAAUGGAAAUUGCAGUGAAGUUUAUGAAAACAAAUCUACUCAAGUGUGAAAAGAAACCAAAAGGCAAAGCCAUGAUAAAAGUACUAAAAUUAAGUUCAAAACACAAUUAAGUCCAAUAUCAUUUGUAACAUUCCCAAAGACUAGGAAAAAUUAUUUUGAAAUCGAAAUAUGGAAUAGGAAAAUGCACUACAGUUUCUGAUAAAAAAUGAAAUAAACGGAAACUGCAGUGUAGUUUAUGAGAAAACAUAUGCUCAAAUUUGAAUAGAAACAAAAAGGAAAAGCCAUGAUCAAAGUACUAAAACUAAGUUCUAAACACAUUUAAGUCCAUAAGCAGUUGUAACAUUCCCAUAGACUUGCAAUGUAGUUUAUGAAACAAGAAACUCAGAAACUGCAACAAACAGAAACAACAAUGUAGUUUAUGACAGAAAAUUAAAAAACUUCGAAUCAAAAUCAAAAGGAAAAGCCACGAUCAAAGUACUAAACUAAAUUCCGAAAACAUAUAAGUCAAUAUGAACGAAAAAAAGGUUCUCAAGUACCCAUACCUCAACACCUAGGACUGCCAAAAAUCUCCCCAUCACAAAACGAAGAAGAUACAAAAUGGCACACACAAAAUCGCGCCACAAAACUGAGCUCGAAAUAGGAGGACUAAGAUCGAACUAGAGCACAGAAAUCGCACGCCAAAACAAACCUUGAUUCUGCAUGCAAAAGCAAAAUUACACCCAAAACAUAAAGAUCAAUCUAAAUAACACAAAACGUAAUCAGAAUAAAACAGAAAAUCAAAUGAAAACCUACCAGAAAAUUGAAGCUCCAAUCGCAGCUAAAUAAACCAGAGCUCCAAAAUGUUAAGCCGAACGAAAACGAAAGAUAAAAGUUCAAAUCACGCAUAAUUUAAAUAGACAGGGGUAAAAAAAGUCAUUUACUUUGUAAGUUUUACAGUUGGGCUAGGCUUUUUAAGAAGAAGAGUGGCAUUGUCUUUUCAGUUAUUAUUUUAAGCUGACUCAAUGAAUCUGGGCCUCCUCUUUGGCCUAAUCCAAAAUAACAAUUCUUUCCUAGGUAUUAAAACCCAAACAAAAAUACCCACUGUCUCAAAUACAAAUUCGUAAAGUUACUUAUGUCUAAUACCUAAUUUUUCUUUAAAUAAAAUAAGUUGUAAUAUCCUACAUCGACCAACAAAGAAGGGGUGAUGUGCCUUAUAUGUACAUGCCCGCCUCCAUCUAGCACAAGGUCUUUUGAGAGCUCAUUGGCUUCGGAGUCAUGGGAACUCCGAAGUUAAGCUAGUUUGGACUAGAGCAAUCCCAGGAUGAGUUCCUAAAAACAAAACCGUGAGGGCAUGGGGCCCAAAAACGGACAAUAUCGUGCUACAACGGAACCGAUCCGGGGUGUGACAAUUUGGUAUCAGAGCCAUUCUGCCGUGUGGUGCUAGUGUGCCGACGAGGACGUUGGGCCCCUAAGGGGGGUGGAUUGUAAUAUCUCAUAUCAACCAACGAAGAAGGGUGAUGUGCCUUAUAUGUACAUACCCGCCUCCAACUAGCACGAGGCCUUUUGGGAGCUCACUGGCUUCGGAGUCAUGGGAAAUCCGAAGUUAAGCUAAUUUGGGGUAGAUCAAUCCCAUGAUGGGUGACCCAUUGGAAAGUUACUCAUGAGUUCCCAUAAACAAAACCGUGAGGGCAUUGGGCCCAAAAACAGACAAUAUCGUGCUACGGCGGAGCCAAUCAGGAGUGUGACAUAAGUGGUGUGAUGUGUCCAGUUUCUGCUCACCAUUCGUUAUAUCAACUACAAAUAGCCUUAAUACUUAACAAUUGAAAAACAUUGAAAAAAAAAUAUCAAUAAAAUAAUUAAAAAAAAGAUUGGGGAUAAUUAUUGGACAAAGCCAAAGUUGAAUGUGAGUAUUUUUGCUCACCACUUUAACUCAAGGUGUACCAUCACCACCCUUCUCAACACUUGACACGUGUCUAUUGACAUAACCAUGGUUCCAUAAAUACAAAGUAAAGAGUUAACUAUAAUUAUGCCAAUAGACACGUGUCAAGUGUUGAGAAGAAUGAUGAAGGUACACCUUAGGUUAAAGUGGUGAGCAAAAAUAUUUCCAAAGCUGAAUUGCGGAGAAGUCUUCCAAUUUUAGUUUGUAGUUUCCAUCUAAUGCAUUAUUUAUUUGCGUCAUGGUGUGACUGGCACUCAAAUAGCCACCACAAGUUCUAAGAUUCGGUUGAAUAAUAUCCCAUUUUGCAUGUAAUGCCUAAAAAACAUUGUGGCGUUAAUUAGUUGGAUUAAUCCAGAUCUUUGUGUACUCCCAAGCAGUCAUGAGUCCAAGUUCUUAAGAUAACAGUGUGUGUGAGUUUUCCCCUUUCCUUCCUAACUUUGACAAAAAAAUAAAUACGAAUGUUAAAUUCUACAUUCUCAAAGUGGGUUAGCUCCAUUAAUCAAGUUCACUGAUAUACUCUAACUAAAUUAAGAAAUUAAAUUUGGUAGGGUUUUGUUUGGAGUCAAAAAUUUAGAUUUGAUGUAUAGAUAGUAUAGGUAUACCUACCAUGUUAACCAUUCUUAACUAAUUUAAUAAAUCUGAGGACUCAAAUUAUAAGUCUGUAUAGUUGGAGGAAAAAACAUUUUGAAUCCGGGCAAUACAUGAAUAGUUGAAUUUUAGAGAGUGGAAUUUAAAUUUAGCCCCAUCAUGGUUGGAGGUGACCUAACUUGUCUUCUCCACACAUAUUGUGAUCAUUAGUAAAUGUGUUUCAUGUGUUUCGUGAGUUUCAUGAUGAGCAAGCAUCUGCUACCGCUUAAAGUUAUAAUAUAAAAUAUCAGGCAAUUUAACUGUAAUGACUUGUAUUUAAGGAGAAGCCAAGUUAUACGUUGUUUAACAUUCUGCCUUAUCCAUAUCAAAUUUCAAAACUGAUAAGCAUAAGCAUGGCUCUGCACGGUUUUAUUGGGACUCAAAUAGAACUCAAGUCACCUGCUGAUAAGUUCUACAAAAUCUUCAAGGGCCAAGCCCACCUCAUCCCAAAUGUUUCUUCUGGCCAUAUCAAAGGCGUUCAGGUGCAUGAAGGAGAUUGGGAAACGCACGGCUCUGUUAAGAUCUGGAAUUAUCAUCUAGG
rnacentral:lncRNA from 1 species